AAGGAGCUUCACCCGUUACACACUUGAAUCCUUUUUCUAGGCACCAUAAAGGAUCCCAACAAUUAUACAUUACAAGUCAUUACCUUUAUUUAUAGACCAGACACAAGGCGCUCUGCCCAUACAACAUACUUGGAACAUUUUUAAAGGCACACUAAAAGACCAUCCACAACAAAACAUUGAUUCGAUCAUUACACUGGAGGUCGCCUUUUCAUCGGAAAUUGAGAUUUACCUUACCAAGAGGUAAUAUCAACGUUACACAAAACAUGACAUAUAACCAUGUCUAACCUUAUAUCUAGAUUAGAUUACACAGUACACACCAGCUUAAUUAUCUUACAGUAGUAUUCAAUUGGAAUACAAAUGCCAAUACACUUUACCAUCGAAAGUAUGAUCAGAAUCCAGAACAUUUCCAUGAGGUACCUCUAUAAGAUUAAUCUGCAAAACAAGAGAACCUCCUUCCUGCACAUGACGAUCUUUAUACAGUUCAUCUAAUUGAACCAUAGUUCUAAGGCCAUGAAUAGGACGAUUUUUAUCAAUAGGCCUAUAACCAUUAGUAUAACCAGAUGCAACAACAUCAAAAGAUACUUCAGCAUCCAUAUUAUUGGCGGCUGCAGGAGGCAGAUCUCCUCUCCAAGCAUCCUCGUUAGCUCUGGGAACAAAUAGGACGGCCCAGGAAACAAUAGGAGCCCAACUUCGACCAAACAAACCAAAAUCCAUCCUAUUCAAGUCCUUCAAAACACCAGGAUCUGCAUAACGCAGAAAAAAGUAGUCUGAUUUAAAACCUAUCAAUUUUCGCUGAUCACACGCCAUAUCUUCCGUGAUUAAUGAAAAAUAAGCGCUCAGAAUCAGAUCACUUGCCUCAGAAAUUAUUUUCGUUGCUCUGUCACUCUUUUUUCUGCUGCCGUCCAAAGACAUUUUCACGUCUAUUUAUGCAAGGGAGGAAUUCGAACACAAACAAAUCACAAAUAAUUAUUAAUUAAUUAUAAUAGGACUCUUAAUUAAUGCAUUCCAGCAUCUCCUUCUGCAACGUGUCUGGCGACGUGGUUUUGUCUUCGUCUGUGCUCCGCCUUUCAUUUCUUGGAUAUCUUCAUCAUAGGUAUUAGAGCCAAGUUAAGGUUAGGUAGAUGAUACAAGUCCUCUUCAAAAGGAUUUUGCUAGUAUUAGAGCCUAGUAACGUAAGAUAUAAUCUCUCGUAAAAUUGUGGGCCUAAGUGGAACCUACAACUAAAUUUGUAUGAGACUGUACCUUACAUUACACGCUUCCUUUAACAAUUGACACAUGUUAAUUAAUGCAUUCCAGCAUCUCCUUCUGCAACGUGUCUGGCGACGUGGUUUUGUCUUCGUCUGUGCUCCGCCUUUCAUUUCUUGGAUAUCUUCAUCAUAGGUGUUAGAGCCAAGUUAAGGUUAGGUAGAUGAUACAAGUCCUCUUCAAAAUAGCUCUCUGUCACAAGUGGUUCCGGUACGUAGAUCCACGUCUUCUUUUGCAGCGUGGUUUGGCCUUUUCAGUUCUUCUCAUUCUUUGAUUUCUUCGAAUAGUUAUCUACAUCGUGUUUACAGGUUGGGUAAGACUACGGAUUGGGUUCGCACAGUUCUAAUAUUUUGAUUGGACUAUCCUGCAUCUAUCUCUUAUUUAGUUUAGCAUGACUUAUUUAACAUCAUAAAUAUUUAUUUAGUUUUAUAAUUUUUUAAAUAUUAAAUAAAUUAUUUUUUUAUUAGUAAAAUUUUAAAUUUUGAGUUUUUGAAAAUAGAUUGAAAAAUAUUUUUAAAAUAUUAAAAUAUUAUUUAUUUAUUUAAUUAUUUUAUUUCAUUUAUUUUAUAACAUAAAUUUAAAAAAAUUACCUAUUAAAAAAAUUUAUAAUUUCUUAAUAAAAACUCUUAUUGAUAGUCAAAUACCUUAAAGUUUUAGUAAAAGUUUGCUUGUAAAAGAUUUAUUAACAAAAGUUAUGCCGAAAUAAGUUUUAUUUGAAAAAUUAUAUCAAGGCUUGAUUUGGUAUCAAAAGAAAAUUAUCAUACACUUAUAUUUUUAUAUUAUCAUUUAAAACUGAAGAGAAGAGUAAAGAAAGAUCAAACCAGAGUGAAGAAGGGUUAACAUAAAAUGAAAGAAAAGCCUCGGGCAUUAUACUAUGAUUUGGGAGAAUGAUGCGUUAUUUAGUUUUGGUGGGUGUAAAAGGAAAACGAAGCUUAAUAAUAUGAGCUUAAAACUCAAUUAAAAUGAGUUUAAUGAAGGGUAGUUUUAGCAUUUUAAAGUGCGAUCAUAGUUAAUUUUAAUUUUUGUAAUUUAUUGAAUAAACUAUUUGCAAUGAAUUAAGAAAAGUAAUCAAUAAUUAUAACAAUAAAAGUAAUUAUUAUUGAAACGACCCACCUCGAACUUCAAGAGCAAAUCUAUCUAAUUUCUUUUAACGUGAUUAGUAAAACGUAUUUGCUAAAAUUUUCCAACAUGCAAAUCUGCAAAACAAACACUUUCAAAAUAAUUCAAUACACAACAAAAUUCAUUGAUCAACCUUCUCAACCAUGAUAUUGAAUAUCACCUAAACACUUAUAAAGUAUCAAAAGAUUAUAUUAUAGCUAAUGUCAACAUAUAUUAAACAUUCAUAAGCAUCAAAUCAUAAUACAAUUAUACAAUCCAAAAUGAGAUGAUCUAAAUGCCCUAAUAAUAUCAUUUAUAUCUUUUAGCACCAUCAUGUGGCCAAAAUUCAAAAAUACUACAGUCGUUGGGUCGAUUAAUGUAUCCACAACUUUCUGUGGGGGAAAAGUAUAGUAAAAUGGGAUGAAUAUAAAACUCAAUGAGUGAAUAAUAACUUUUGAAAAUAAUAUAUUUUAAAAUAAUUAUAUAUUUUCAAUAUACUAUUUUCAUCAAACUAUAAGUAAGAACAUAGAUGAAUUAUUCGAACUUUAAAUCAAACAACUGUCGUUUUAAUUUUAAAGUGUGAUCGUAGUAAAUUUUUAUUUUGUUAAUUUAUUGAAUAAACUAUGUACAAUCAAUUAAGAAAAAUAAUCAAUAACUAUAACAAUGAAAGUAUUGAUUACUGCAACGACCCACCUCAAACUUCGAGGGCAAGUCUAUCUAAUUUCUUCUAACGUGAUUAGUAAAACUUAUUAAUGAGGAUUUUGCUAAAAGUUCAUCGACAGAGUCUCCCCCUAUAUUUAUAAAAUUUCUAACAUGCAAAUCUAAACACUCCCAAAAUAAUUCAAUACACAACUUGAAAUACUAACUAGGCAACCCAAGAGGGGGGGUGAAUUGAGAUUUUAUAAAUUAAGCUAAGCAAACACACAACAAUUCAAUCUAAUGCCUUAAUAAAUUCGAAAACAAUAAAUUCAAUGAAAGCACAAUAAUAAAUGAGCAAGGGAAGAGAAAGCAAACUCAAUGAUUUUUACGUGGUUCGGCAAUCCCCGCCUACGUCCACGCCUCCAAGCAUUUUCAUUUUUGAGCUCUACCAUUUUCUUUUUAAGACAUGCAUUCUUUUUACCAAUUUUCAUACACUCAUCAUGCAAUUCUUUAAAAGUAUCAUGUAAUUCAUCAUAAGUAGGAAGAUCAUUUACCUCAUCAAGUUCAUCAUCAGAUUCAUCUCCAAUUGCCAUAAGAGCUAGAUUUGUCAUUUCUUGAUGCUCUUCAUCAUCACUUGUUUCCUCCUCGCUAUCAUCCCAUGUGGCUACCAUUGCUUUCUUCUUGAGCUUGUUGAGAAGAGGGCAUUCCGAUCUUAUAUGGCCAGGUUUCUUGCACUCAUAACAUUUGAUUACUUCAUUCUUCUCCUUUUGGUUCUUGAGGUCUCUAAAUUUUCUUCGCUCACUGGAUUUCUUAAAAAAAUUUCUAAACUUCCUAGCCAGCAUAUCCAUCUCCUCCUCAUCCAGCUCGCUUUCCUCAUCACUCUCAUAUUUCGAGGCUUUGAGAGCAAUGCUUUUCUUCUUCUCCUCAUUGCCUUUUUCGGCUGCCAAGUCUUCCUCAUAAGAAAUAAGAGAACCAACUAAAUCAUCAAUAGGUAAGAUAUUUAAAUCUUUGGCUUCCUCAAUGGCAGUCCUUUUUUGUCUCCAUUCCUUACGUAGCGACCUAAUAAUUUUCUUAACUUUCUCGCUAUUUGAAAAAGUCUUUCCUAUGGCUCCUAGAGUGUUCACUAUGUCUGUAAAUCUAGUAUACAUAUAAUACACACUCUCAUUUUGUUCCAUUUGGAACAAUUCAUAUUGUCGAGUGUACCUACUAAUUUUAGACUCUUUCACUUGAUUCGUGCCUUCAUAAAGAACUUCAAGUUUGUGCCAAAUUUCAUUAGCACUCUCACAACUAGAUACUCUAUGAAAUUCUUUCUUAUCUAGUGCACAAAACAAGGCAUUCAUAGCUUUGGAAUUUAGAGUAGCUUUUCUCUUUUCUAAUUCAUUCCAUUCCCGUGAAGGUUUUGGAAUAUCUUCCCCGACUUCAUUUUUAGUCAAAGGCAUAAAAAGACCAUCACAAACAACUUCCCAAAUUUCAUAAUCAAGUGCUUGUAAAUAAAUUCUCAUCCUAGUUUUCCAAUACGGGUAGUCAUUUCCGUCAAAGAACGGUGGUUUAAUUGUAGACUGUCAUUCUCUAAAGGUUGAGUCAUUAUGGGUUGCCAUGGAUCUUUAACUCUAGACGGUUAAGUCUAAACAAGAGCACCUCGCUCUGAUACCAAAUGAAAUACUAACUAGGCAACCCAAGAGGGGGGGUGAAUUGAGAUUUUAUAAAUUAAGCUAAAAAAACACACAACAAUCCAAUCUAAUGCCUUAAUAAAUUCGAAAACAAUAAAUUCAAUGAAAGCACAAUAAUAAAUGAGCAAGGGAAGAGAAAGCAAACUCAAUGAUUUUUACGUGGUUCGGCAAUCCCCGCCUACGUCCACGCCUCCAAGCACACCGGGUUUGAGGAUUUCACUAUUCGAGCCUUUCCAAUGCUUCAAUCGUUUACAAUUGACUUCAAGGUGUCAAUGAACCUUUAAAACAAGAGAUUAUCUCUCCAAUCUCUUCACCCCAAGUGUUUCUCACACUUGUACACUCACAAUUUGAUGAGAAAUAAAAAUUACAACAAUGAAACUCUCUUUAAGAGUGGAUAUACAAAUUGAAGAACAAAGAUGAUUUAAUAAAUGAUGAUUUACGAAAUUGAAGCUCAAUAUAUGUUGUGUGCACUUGUUUUUGCUUGCCAAGAUUACCAAAAAUGAAUUGGUUUUGAGUUUAUAUAGUUUGAGCUCAAAAACUAGUCGUUAUGCACUUUUUGGUCAUAACCGGCUUACUGUUUAUGAAAUCCAGUUAGCCGCUUGUAUGUUACUGUUACAGCCAAAAUUUGAAUUUUUGAACAUCCGGUAUGCCGCUUAUGAAAUCCGGAUAGCCGUUUAUGCUCCAGAAGCUUACUGCCCAACAAUCGGAUUACCGUUUGUCAGGAUCCGGUUAGCCGCUUUCAAUUCGGAUAGAUUCUGCCCAACAUCCGGCUUACCGGUUUUUCACAUCCGGUUCGCCACUUGCUACAGUGACUGCUACAGUGAACUAUUUUAUAAAAUUAUAGUUUAGCCCCAAAACUUUUCAUAACUAUACUAGGGCCCAAAACGUUAUACAUUUGACAAAUAAGUCCAAUUUCAGAAUCUCUAAAUAAUACUUGCUAUUCCCAAAAUUUUUUAAAAUUAUGAUAUGGCCCAAAAUGAUAUGAAACUUUUCAAAUAAGUCCUUUUCCAAAAUUUCAAGCAAUACUUGUUGAUUUCAAAGUUUUCAAAAUUCUUUCAAUUAAACCAUAAACUUGAAAAGCAACCAAUUUCAUAAAAUCAUUUUUCCACUAAAUAUGAAACCUUUAUAAUGAGAAAAUAAUAUUUAUUUAAAAAGUAUAAAAAAAUCAUUUGAGCUUAAAAGAUUAAUCAUUCUUAAUCUUGUUUGUUAUCAUCAAAAUCAACAUUAUGGAAACAUAUAUGUUAACACAACUAACUUCAUUGAUCAACCUCCUCAACCAUAAUACUGAAUAUCACCUAAACACUUCUAAAUUAUCAAAAGAUUAUAUUAGAGCUAAUGUCAACAUACAUUAAACAUUCAUAAUCAUCAAAUCAUAAUACAAUUAUACAAUCCAAAAUGAGAUGAUCUAAAUGCCCUAAUAAUAUCAUUUAUAUCUCCUAGCACCAUCACGUGGCCAAAAUUAAAAAAAAAAAUACUACAAUCACUGGGUCGAUUGGUGUACCACAACCUUCUUCAGGGGGAAAGUAUAAUAAAAUGAAAUGAGUAUAAAACUCAAUGAGUGGAUAAUAGUUUUUGAAAAUAACAUAUUUUAAAAUAAUUAUUUCUUUUCAAUACACCAUUUUCAUCAAACUAUAAGUAAGAACAUAGAUGAAUUAUUCGGACUUUAAAUCAAACAACUGUCGUUAAAAGAAUACAUGAUAUUAUACAUAAUAUACAAGGAAAUCAUAUCAAAAUAUAAUAUAAAAUACUUGAUUAUGAAAUUGUCACUAAAUAGUACCUAAGUAAAUAAUCUUGUCAUUCUCGCACCUCUUAUCGAUGGUGAAAUGACGUACUAUCUGAGUACUAUCAUGUUCGGAGCUAGAACGAGUAGACCAAUGGCAUGCUAUCUCAUAUAUCUCAUAUAUCUCCUUAUAUUUCAUGUAAAAAACAAUCCCUACAGGACAAAAACAUCCAAGCACACAACCCAAAAUCUUUGUGUAUAUUCAGACGGGACCCAAAGAUCUCUAGCUCAAUUGUAAUCUCUACAACUGAAUCUAUAUCUCUGUAUCUGAAAAUGUAUCUGGAGGGGAGGAGUAUUGUCAAAUGAUUUUGAAAACAAACUCUUAUACACUUGUAGAUAAACAUAUAAUCAUACUUUAAACUUCAUUUCCUUUUUCAUUAACAUACUGUAAAUCUAUUUUUCUUUUCUUUAAAAUACUCUUAUGCGUUUACUCAACAUAGAGAAGCAAAAGUAAUCAUCAAAUACGCUUUAACAAUAUAUUAAUACAUAAAUAAAACUCAUUUAUAAAACCAUUAAAUCAAAACAUUAAACUCUUGUUUCAUAUGCAUGCGUUACUUUACUUAAUUUAAAAAUCAUAAUAAAUUAUAAAGAUGGGUUUAGUAUAUUCCAUUUGCAAUGAUGAUGCUCAAGCUCAACUAUUAUCGACAUCCGCAGAUUGACUCACGUUUAUGGCUCCUCUAAAUUGUGGAACGACAUAAUUACUUUUUGAAUAUAUGAAAUACAACUAGCUUUAAGCAAGAUAGCUCUCAAUGAAUAUUUAUCCCACAAUGUACAACUCCCGAAACCAUACUUGUAAGAUAAAAAUGACCAUAAUAUACUCAAAGCCAUAAUUUACACCUUAUACCUAAAAUUCCAUACUCCUUAAAUUUUUCAUAUGUUAUAAUACUAAUAAAUCUUCCACAUUAUAAAAAAUCUCAUAAUUAACCAUAACCUACCUAAACAUGAUGCAUAACUAUAAGCUAUUUACAUACCGAAAUGAGGGAACGAUGAGGGCUACGCGUUUCUAGGUGUACAAUGCCUCAUUGGUGCCCUUGUGCAUCUAUAAUAAUCCACUAGUUACAAAACUUAGCUUCGAACAAUCUUUACCCAUUUGUUAGAAACCUUAACUAUAAAUAAAGUAUACAAAUCUUUAAAUUAACUUCAUUCCCAUGAGAUCCAACUUCGAAUAAAGAUAACAUGAUAGAAAUCUUACUUCCUUUGGUGAGAAAAACCAACUUGGAAGCUUGAAUCACUUCCUUCUCACUUAAAUCCCCUCUCUACACUUACAUUUAAAUUCCUCUUUAAUGGAUGUUUUCAAAAGAAUUUAGGGACGGAAACACUCUAGAAUAACUCUCUAUUCCAAGCUUUCCAAGAUCCAAACUCAAACUUUGAAAAAUUUCCCCAUUUUUCUCCUCUUUCCCAUUGCUCCUCUUCUCCUUUUCUUUUUUGCCUUUUUUUUUUCAAAUCAAUACAUAUAAAAUCCAAUGGAGACUAACGGGCUUUCAAGUAAGGGUGGAUGUUCAAAUUGGUAUUUGUUUUAUUCUUUAUUAAUCUGGCCUGGAUUUGAGAUUUUGGAACUAUAAGUGGCUGGUUACUGGGAAAUUUUUGAAAAUGAAAUUGUUGUAACCUAAAUUGGACCCAAACUGAAAUUGAGACCUAAAUUUUCAAACCGAACCAAUCCAAAGUUUGAUCCCAAAUAGAGCCGAGUCGAACUAAAUUCGGUUCAGUUCUGUUUGGGUUCAUGUUUUGAACCUAAUUGGGUUGAAUACUCUAACCGGAUCAGGUUGUAACCUAACUGGAACUCGAACAACCCGAAUCGAAACCCGAUAUGCCCACCCCUAUUUUAAAGCCUACAGACCAAUGGAAGAAAUGGAAAGAAAAAAGAUGUUACAAUUAUUAACUUGAUUCUUGGGCAUUAUAAUCUCAAUAUUUAACAUGAUUUUGUUUCUCAUAUUAGUUUCUAUCUUCUGCGUUGAGACCUAGAGUCUUAUUUAUGUUGGCAUCUUGUAAGGGUUGGCAUUCUUAUUGAAUUGUAAUUCAUAAAUUGAAGGCUAUGUUAAUUGGGAGAUUUCUUAAUUUAGUUAUUUUCUUAAAAUUAGGAUUUAAGUCUUUUCAUUUUAAGGAUUUACUUAGAACACAAAGAGUCUAAUUUUGGAAGCAAAUCAAAAUUAAAAAAAAAAAAAAAAGGCUCUCUAUAACUUGUUAUAGAAGUUAUACAUUGAAGAUAGUUCAUCACAAGCAGAAAAAUAGAAUUUUAAGGUCGAUUGCUAUAAAUAGUAUUAGAUGAACAAUAUUAGUUAAUAGUGUCUAUUGAAACUAUUCAUUGAACUUUAAUCUUUAUAGGGUAAACGCUUAUUUAGUCCCUAUAUUUUCACUCAAAUAUAUGUUUAGUCUCACAUUAUAAAAUAUAUCUCAAAAUACUCAUAUAGUUAAAUAUGUUACAUUCUUAACCUUUUUUGGUUUUAUGAUAACACCCUUCAAACAACAUUCUUGACAUGAAUUAAGGUAUCUAUAAAAAAAAGUUAAUUAGCAUCUUAACCAAUAAUUAAUUAUUAGCAAAUUAAUUAACAAAUACCACUGUGAAAGAACUAAUAUUUUUGUACUAUUGCAACAAUCUUACUAAUAAUUAUUUAUAAAUAAAUUAAUAUUAGCCAACUUAAAACAAUGUUUAUUAAUAUCUUUACAACAAUUUUAAUAAUAAUUUUUUUAUAAAAAUUAAUUUACUAAAUUAAUUCUAAAAGUAAAAUAAUAAUAUAAAAGUUUGGAUAAAUUUUUAUGUUACUUUAAAGAUAAAUUUUGGUAAAUUAACAAUUUUUAUUGAUAUCCCAAGAAUAUUGUUGCAAGAGUGUUAUCAUAAAAAGAAAAAAAUUAAGGGUAACAAAUUAAGGGUAGGAAUGAAACAUAUUUGACCUCAUGGGUGUCUUGAGAUGUGUCUCUCUGUGUGUAACACUUAAAUCAAAAUAUAGGGAUUAAAUAAGUAUUUACCUAUUUUAUAUUCAUCCCACUCUUAGACAUACUUUUGGUGUGUUUCGGAUUGAGGUUGAGCAACUGUAGCUUUUAAGCUACAACACUAAAGUGUUUGGUAAACACUAGCUAAUGUACCUUGAAAGUUAUGUUAAUAUGAUUUUUCACUUGUAUAAUAAAAAAUCUAUUAUAUCUUUAAUGAUUUUGUCAAAAUUAUUAUUUAAAAUUUAUAUUUACUAUAUAUUAUUGAUUUUUGUUUUAUAGUUACAGUUUUGUUUCCAUAGCAGUUGUAGCUUAAAAGUUAUAGCACCUCAAUCUCAAACAGGACCUUUGUUAAUUGGUCUCUCUUCGUUAAUUGGUCCCUUCCAAAAAAGAUGUUGUUUGGAGCAGUUAAGGAAUUUCAUAUCAAGGUUAUGAACAAGAAGACAAAUGGUUCUCGCAAAUUACAUAUCUCUUAGUUGACUGAGAUGGCGGCAAAAGUAAAUUUUCCUACAUAUUAAAAUACUAAAUGUGAUAUAAGAACCAACUAUAAGCAAGUUAAAUUGAUGAUUUGGUAUAAUUACAAUAAUUAUUAUUUUUAAUUGAUCUGUGGGUUGAAAUGACUAUAUAAUCAUUCUUAAGUGCGAGCAUCCAUAUUUUUUUGGGAAACUGACAAACACACCCCCAACGUUUAGGCAAAGGGAUAAAAAACCUCCUAACGUUUUAAAAAAGACAUUUACACUCCAACUUAUUAUAACUUUACCAUUAUACCCUUCUAGCAUAUAAAAAAAAUUAUUAGAUUAUCUAAUUUGUCUAUAUAUUGGUAAUAAAAUUAUAAAUAGAAAAAUUGGAUAUUAUUAAAAAAAUUAUAAAUAUACCCUCAUUGCCCAAAUCUUCUAUUUAAAUUUUUAUCAAUAACCAAUUUUCAAAAAAGACAUCUAUACACCUAAAAAAUUAUAAAUAAAUUAUAAUUUUAAAAAUAAAAUUGGUUAUUAAUAACCAAUUUUAUUUAAAAUUUAAACUUUUAUAUUUAACAAUUCUCCACAUGUCAAUCAUUUAAACCUGUACAUUUAUAACCAAUUUUCUAUGUUAUUUAUUAUGGUAUUAAUAACCAAUUUUAUUUUUAAAAUUAUAAUUUAUUUACAAUUUUUUUUAAGUGUGUAGAUGUCUUUUUUGAAAAUUGAUUAUUGAUAAAAAUUUAAAUAGAGGAAUGAGGCAAUGAGGGUAUAUUUAUAAUUUUAUUAACAAUAUAUAGACAAAUUGGAUAAUCUAAUAAUUUUUUUAUAUGUUAGAAGGGUAUAAUGGUAAAAUUAUAAUAAAUUGGGGGUGUAAAUAUCUUUUUCAAAACGUUAGGGGGGCUUUUGUCCCUUUGCCUAAACGUUGGGAGUGUGUUUGUCCUUUUUCCUUUUUUUUUUUAAUACGGAUAUGCUCUUAAACUGUAUAAUUAAAAAAGAUCAGUUUUGAAAUAAAUUACAAUAUUGUACUGUUUAAAAGAAUUAAAAACUAACUCUCUUUAAUUUCACAACUUAAAAACGUAGCCAAAAGGAAAUUUUAGGGUGGCGGCAUUGAAAAAAAACACAUAUAAUGCUUAUCAAAUCUAAGAUUAAAAUUCGGAAUUAAAAUUUGAGACGGAUAUAAAAUAUCGUAUAAGUAAUUUAGGAUGCCAUAAAUUCAUACUGGUGUCUAGUUCUAAACUUUAUCUCCAGAUUUCAAACAUUCAUCGCUUUGUGGCCCCUAUUUUCUUUGUUUUUCCAACUUUCUUCCGGUGGCAGAGCCCACCAUUGGAAGAAGUUAAUUUUUUUUUUGACAUUUUUUUCAUUGUCUAGCCCACCACCUUGUUUGACUCUUCUCUGGAAAAAGUUGCUUUUUUGGGUUUUUCAAUAUGCUAUAAUUUUUUUACAGCAUCAAUAAUAUUUUUAAUUGUGUAUCAUUAAAUUUAAUCAAUGAUAUAUUUAAUCAAUGGUAUAUAAUAUUUGUAGUAAAAAAAAUAAUAAACAGUUAUUAAAUGUGUAAGGGGUGGAGAAUUUUAUAAAAUAACUAUGACCAUCCUUAGAGUUUGAAAUAAUUUCACUUAAAUAGCAUAUUUUAUUUAAAAUUAUUUUUCAAUCCUCCUUUAAAUUUGAAUUGUGAUAAUCUUUUUUAAAUAAAUCUUCCAAAAUCUAUUACCAUGAAGUAUAAAAUAUAAUGGUAGGUUAUUUAACACAAAUCAAAUAAAUAAGUUGCAAUUAUAAAAUUUAUAUAUGAUAUAAUAGUAAUAAAUAACACAACUAAGUACAUAUACUUAAGUAAAUGCAUAGUUACAUCAAUAAACUCAUUGUUGAGAUUGCUUGUAACAUAAAAAUUACUUGAUCACACAUGUUUUAAUAAAAUUUAAUGUCGUAUAUUAAAAUACUUAUUAUUUUAUAUAAUAUUAAGGGUCAUUGUAUAAUUAAUCAUGAAGUGUGUAUUAUUUUUAACACCCAUUUAACAUACUUAUUCUCUGAACUUUAUAUUUAUCAUACAAUUAAUAUCCUUACAUGGUAGGAGUUUUAAGUUUUAUAAGCCUAUAUAUUUUCAUUUUAUUUUCAAAUAUCACUUUGUUAAUUUCAUAAAAGUUAAAUCUAAUAUAUAUUCCUAAUGAGCUUUAGUUUAUGAAUCGUGAAAGAUUAUUUUAUUGAUAUCAUUUGAUUGUAAUUAUAAAAUUUUACGUUAUUAAGAGUCAUUACUUUUGUUAUGAUAAUUAAUUGUGACUAUAAAUAAAAUAUUGUCUCCAAUAAUAUUUACGCAGGAAAAAAAGUGAAUGAAAAUCAUUUGUAUUUUUAGAUUUUUAUUGACAUGGUAGGAAAUUAUCUCAGCCUUAAAACAUUUAACUUUCACAAGCUUGUUUUCAUUUUAUUUUCAAAUGUCACUUUGUUAAUUUCAUAAAAAUUAAAUCUAACACAUAUUCCUAAUUAACUUUAGUUUAUGAAUUAUAAAAAAUUAUUUUAUUGUUAUUCUUUGGUAGUAAUUAUAAAAUUUUUAUGCUACGAAGAGUCAUUACUUUUAUUAUGAUAAUUAAUAGUGACAAUAAAUAAAAUAUUACAUCAAAUAAUAUUUAAUGGAAAAAAUGAGGAAAAAAAAUCAUUGUAUAUUUUUAUAUUUCCAUUAUAAAGAUAUGGUUUGGGAUACUUUAACUUAAACUUUUGGCACACUAGUUGAGCAACUAAUAUCUCAUAAUCUAAUGGUUGAUAUUGAAAGUCAAAGCAACAUUUCAUAAUAUUAUAUCUUCCACCAUUGAAUUGCAUGAAAUAAAUAGUUUAAUUUUUUGAUAAAAAUUAAAAUCAAAAUAUUUCUCACUCUAUAGUUAUAUAGACAUAUAUAUUUUUCAAUAAUAAUUGGUGAAUAAAAUAUUUCUCAUUUGUUGUGACUCAUAUAGUAUUAUUAAUAAAACCCAUAUAAAAUUGUUUAUUGCAAUGCUUUCUAUUAUCAUUAUUAUUUAGGUAUUAAUGGUUUGUAAUUAAAUUCAUACAAUACAAAUUAUUACAAGACUUUGUGUUAAAUAACCUACUUGAUAUUAUAUUUUAUACUUAAUGGUAACUGAUUUUGGAAGAUUUAUUUAAAAGAGAUUAUCAUAUUACAAAUUUAAAGGAGGGCUGAAAAGUAAUUUUAAAUAAAAUAUACUAUUUAAGUGAAAUUAUAUCAAACUCUAAGGGUGGUCACAAUUAUUUUACAAAAAUUAUCCACCUACUUGAACGGUUACCAUUAUUUUUUAGUACAAAUAUUAUAUACCAUUGAUUAGAUCUAAUGGUUCACAAUUAAUAAAUUAUUGAUGCUGUAAAAAAAUUUACAGCAUCAUAGAGGAACCCUGCUUUUCUAUAUUUUUUUCAAUGUCGAACCUGCCGAGCCCACCAACAUGUUCUCAUUUUUUUUUUAUUUGGCAAACCCUUACAUACAUUUAAUGUAUCUUACACCAAACAAUGAAUGGACGCCACACCACUCACUGUGUGAGUGGUUAUAAUAUAUAUUAAGGCCAUGUUUGCUUGGGGGUUGAGAAGUGAGGAGAGGAAAAGAAUUUAAUUUUUUUUAUAUUUUCCAUUGUUUUGUUGGACUAAAUUUAAUGGAAUUGAAUUUUCAUUGAAAUUUAAUUUCCAUGAAUUUGAAGAAUUUGUAUUCCUUAUCAAUGACUAAGGAUAUCAAAUUUCUUAUCUAUUUAAACACAAAAAAUCUAAUAUUAUCCUCUAAACAAAAUCAAUUUUAAAUAAAUGAAAGUAUAAAUAAUUUAUAUUUAUUUUAUUAAAUUAAUAGGAUAAAUUUAUUUGAUAAAAGAAAAAACAGUAAAGUGACUCACCGGAAAGUCACCGAAGACACGCUGGAGUUUCGCCGAAGACGCAUUUUUCCAUCAAAACCGGUACCAAUAGAAUCCUCAUGAGCCGAUCUACAACUUUAUGGGGUUAGAAAUGCUAAUAUACAUUGUUAUUUACCUCAAGUCUUGUUUAAAUACUUGAGAAAAUUUUAACUCAACUAUAUAGUGUGUUUUCUUCAAAAUUAACAUUUCCAAUGAGUAAAUCGUCCAUUUUUUGAUCAUUAUUAUGUAUUUAACACGAUGAAAAAUGGUAGUCAACUAUGGUCAACGGCGCCGGUCAAUGACGAUCAACAGAGGUCAAUGCGGCAGCUGUUCAUGCCCAAAUGCUGUAAUUUUUUAAAAUAAAUUUUUUUAUUUAAUUAAGUAAUUUUUAGAUUAAAUUAAUUCAUAGUUUUAUUAUGUUUUAAUUUAUUAACAAUAUUAACAUUAAAGAUAGUGGGUAUAUUUGUCCAAAUAAGAAAUAUGUAAUUUCUUUUUCUUUCAAAUUUUAUGUGAAACCAAAUAAUAACAAUUAAUUUUUGCACUCUUUUCCUCUUAUCUCAUCUCUAUUCCUCACAUUUUUUCUCCUUUCGUCUCCUCCCCUUUUUUAAAACAACACCACAUAAAUGUAUGUUAGAGGAAUCUUUUUUAUUUUAUUCAGCCUUUGAUUUCCUUUCAUCGGUGGGGUAGGUACUUUUAAAAAGAAAAUUAUACUUUAAAAAUAUUUUCAAAAUUUAUUUUUAAUUAAAUAUUAUAUUAUCAAAUUACUCUUUAUGAAAUUUACCGUUAUAGACAAUCAAAAUUACUAGAUAAAAUUUUAUAAUUGUGUCAAAAAAAAUCGUUUUUUAAUUUUUUUUCAUUUUAAUUUUCUCCUCGACUUCACUGGUAAAUAUUUACUCUAAAAAAGGGUGGCUGUUAAAACAAAAAUAAAUAAAUAAUUGGGCAUUGGUUUGGAUAAGAUGGACAACAUUUAUUGGGACUCUAUAUCAUUGGGCGGUAGAACUUGGAGGUUGGACCGUUGCACUUUUAAUAAAUUAAUCUGUAAGCAGUUUUUUUUUUUUUUAUUGGCUGAUAUAUAACAAUCAGAGCUCUACUAAUAUAAUCAGACAUCAAUCGGGUACUCUUCUCAAUAAUCAUAUUGUAGCACAGCUCGAAUAUCGACUCAUCGUUUAAAGCUGAAGGGAGAUCUACCAUCACUAUUAAUAAUGGAGGGGAAUCAAUUCUACCCCAGUGUGGGGAGAAAAAAACAACGUCCAAGUUCUCAAUAAUUUUAGUGUGAACAAAAGUUCAAUUCAUGACCAUGAAAUUAAUCGGAGUUGUUCCGAUGGUUACCGCAAGAGUGUUGACGUUUGAAGAAAGAGAGCUUGGGCAAAAUAAAUUAAUUUUAGGGUAACUUUGGGAUUUUGAUGAGCGUGUAUAGUAAAAAAUUAUAUUUUAAAUUUGACAGUGUAUUGAGUAAAUGAGUGUCUAAAAUAAUAUUUAGAGUAUAAAUAAUCUCACCUAAAAAAAUUAUUUACUUUAAUAAAGACACAAUAAUUUACGUGAUUCGACUUAAAAUCUACAUUUACGAGCAAAAGCUAAAAAUAACUUCGUUAAUAAAUAAAAAUUUACCAAAUUAAGAAAAAAAUACCCUCAAAACUUAAAAUCCCAAUAUACCCAAUUAAACCAUUAGUAGAACACUCAAAUAAAAACACUAUUCAAUUUCUCAAAUUACUUCCCUUAUAAUUACUUUCAACUUUCACACUUUAGGAUGAUCUUUAAAUGACAAACUGCCCCUCUGUCUAUGCCUCUAUGGGAGUGCGUGGCUCAACUAUCUCUCAAUUUUGGUAAUUUGUCAACUUGUUUAGUCCACCGAAUUCGGAACCCAAUCUUGUGCCGCCAUUUCUUAACAAGCUCUCCAAAUGCAUUAAAGUGUCAAGUAUUUCAAUAACCAACUCUCUACAUUUGUUGGCAAUUUUCAAUGUAUUUAAUUCACUUUUUUUGACUUUUCAACACACAGGAUGUGGAGAAAAAUAAUUAUGUUUUCGUUCUAUUUUUUUCAAUAGUUAGUAUGAUAAUCAGCCAAAUAUAUACAACAUACCAUUCUAUAACUCUGAUACUUUGUAAUAUAUACCAAUCAAGCCCCAAGUCUAAGACUGUCUCAUAAAACUAUUAAAAAAUUUGAACCUAAUACUUCAACGCAUCACUAAAAGGUUUUUUAAAUUAGAUUUUAUUACUUUUUAACGAGUCAUAUCAAUCAAUAAAUUUUAAAAGACUUUUUAAGUGAGUUUUUUUUUUAUUGAGGAGAGAGAAAAGUGCUAUCUCAUUUGAAGGGUUUUUUAAAAUCUUAAAUUUAUUCUACUGUUUCUCAUAAUUUCAUGAAGAGAAAGAAGUAUCAUAUUUGCUAUUGUUUUUGUAGAGAAAUUUUUUGAUUAAAAUAAUAUAUUUAUACUUUUAAUUAAAGAAUCUUUUAAUUUUUUUCCACUCUUUCAUUUACAAUAUAUAGUAAAUAAAUAUUUAAAAAAAUUAAAUUUAGAUGAAUAUUUUAGUGACCUACUUAGAUCUACUUAGUGUCUGUUUGGUAUAAUUUAUGUAAUGCUCAUAAGUAUUUAUUUAAUCUAAAAAAUUCUUAUCAUAAUUUUUAUUACUAUUAUUUUUUUAGAGAUUUUAUAGUUUAAAUAAGUUAUUUUAUUUCUACUAGUAAAAUCUCAAAUUAGGAGUAGAGAUUGAAAUUUUUUUAAAUAUUAAAAUAUUCUCUACUAAUUUGACUUUUUUUCAUAACAUAACUUUAAAAACUUACCUAUUAAAAUAAUUUCAUAAAUUUUUAAUAAAAAUUCUUAUUAACAAUCAACAACAAAAAUUUUUUAAGUAAAAAUUUUAUUUAUAAAAAUUUUGUUAUCAAAAACUCUAUUUAAAUAAAUUUUAUUUAAAAAAUUAUAUUAAACGGAGCCUUACCCUCGCGAAUCGCGAUACCAUAACUAUUUUGAAGAAAUCGAAGAAUGAAAAGAAUUAAAAAGGCAAAACCGCGUUGUAAAGGAGGACGUGGAUCAACGUACCGAGGCCACUAAUGACAAAUAGCUACACCUUUUGAAGUAGACUCCCAGCGUCUACCUAACCUAAACGGGUACAGAGACCUUUUGUUUUUUUUUUACAAUAGGUAUAGUUACGUAUGACUGAAGAAAUAAAAAAAAAAUAAAAAGCAUAGGGUAGAAGAAAACAAAGCUACCUAUUGGCUUCGUGUUGCAACUCUGCAACAGAAUGUCAAAUCGACAAUGAAAUUUCUUUGUCCAUUUUUCACGUGCACAGCCAUAUAAAAGAAAAAAAAAAUAUCACAAUUGUAUGCAUAUGCUGGUGGGUCCCUUUUCAAAUUUGACAAGAGGAUUUUAAUUUCUUGUGAAAUUUGUGUUACUUCAAAUCAUUUUAUAGAAAUUAGGGAUGGCAAUGGGGAGGGGAGGGGAGAGGACCAAUCUCCCCGUAUCCAUCUCUGAUAUUUUGCGUAUCUCUCCGUCUCCUCCCCAUCCCCAUCAUAAUUACUUGAGAGAAUCUCAUUCUCCUCCCCGAAUAAUAACAUGGGGAUUCCCGAGGGUCCCCGAUCUCCGAAUAACUAAUACAUAUUUUUUAUUUUUUAUUUUUAGUUAAUUCUAUUAAAAUAAAAAAUUCAAACAAAAGUAAAGUUCGAAAUAUAUUUUACAUUAACAUUGAUCCAUUAUAAAAGUCACAUGCAAAAUACAAAUUAUCAAAAUAAUUAUCUUUGUCAAUCAUCAUAAUCCUACAAUAAAAAGAAAAAGAAUUUACUUUUUAUCGACAAUAAAAUAAAUGAAAUAAAUGUUGAUACUUAAUUAAUAUUUUUAAUAAAACAAAAUUAAAAUUAAAACAAAAGUUUUGGACUAAUAGAAUCUACCCGACCUUUUUAAUGUCCUAAAUAAAAAUUUAAGACUUUAAUUAGUUAAUUAGGCCUAAAAGUUUAAUAAUAUAAAUAUUUUAAUAUUUGUUACUUUACCAAUAUUAAUAAUUUUAUAAUAUAAUUCAAAAUUUAUUAUUUAUUUACUAGUAAUUUUAAAAAAAUAAAAAUUAAAUUAAAAUUUAAAAUAAAAAUUAAAAUGGGGAAAUGAGGAGGGGAUGAGGAUUCCACCUCAUCCCCGCCCCUUCCCCGAAUAAGAAAUUGGGUAUAGAAUUAUCCCCGUACCCACCCCGAAUGGGAAAAAUCCCCGAGAGUACCCAUCCCCUAAUGGGAAAUUGGGUGUAGAAUUUAUUCUACUUUUUCUCAUAAUUUCAUGAAGAGAAAGAAGUAUCAUAUUUGCUAUUGUUUUUGUAGAGAAAUUUUUUUGAUUAAAAUAAUAUAUUUAUACUUUUAUUUAAAGAAUCUUUUAAUUUUUUUUCCACUCUUUCAUUUACAAUAUAUAAAAGUAAAUAAAUAUUUAAAGAAUUAAAUUUAGAAGAAUAUUUUAGUGAUCCUCUUAGAUUUACUUAGUGUCUGUUUGGUAUAAUUUAUGUAAUGCUCAUAAGUAUUUAUUUAGUCUCAUAAAUUCUUAUCAUAAUUUUUGUUACUGUUUAUUUUUUUUAGAGAUUUUACAGUUUAAAUAAGUUAUUUUAUUUCUACUAGUAAAAUCUCAAAUUAGGAGUAGAGAUUGAAUUUUUUUUUUAAAUAUUAAAAUAUCUAAAAUAUUAUCUACUUAUUUGAUAUUCUUUUCAUAACAUAACUUUAAAAACUUACCUAUUAAAAUAAUUUCAUAAAUUUUUAAUAAAUUUUUUUAUUAACAAUCAACAACAAAAAUUUUAUAAAUAAAAAUUUUAUUUAUAAAAAUUUUGUUAUCGAAAACUUUAUUUAAAUAAAUUUUAUUUAAAAAAUUAUAUUAAACGGAGCCUUACCUCGCGAAUCGCGAUACCACAAUUAUUUUGAAGAAAUCGAAGAAUGGAAAGAAUUGAAAAGGCAAAACCGUGUUGUAAAAGAGGACGUGGAUCAACGUACCGAGGCCACUAAUGACAAAUAGCUACACCUUUUGAAGUAGACUCCCAGCGUCUACCUAACCUAAACGGGUACAGAGACCUUUUGUUUUUUUUUUUUUACAAUAGGUACAGUUACGUAUGACUGAAGAAAUAAAAAAAAAAAAUGAAAAGCAUAGGGUAGAAGAAAACAAAGCUACCCAUUGGCUUCAUGUUGCAACUCUGCAACAGAAUGUCAAAUCGACAAUGAAAUUUCUUUGUCCAUUUUUCACAUGCUCAGCCAUAAAAAAGAAAAAAAUAUAUCACAAUUGUAUGUAUAUGUUGGUGGGUCCCUUUUCAAUUUUGACAAGAGGAUUUUAAUUUUUUGUGAAAUUUGUGUUACUUCAAAUCAUUUUAUAGAAAUUAGGGAUGGCAAUGGGGAGGGGAGGGGAGGGGAGGGGAGGGGACCAAUCUCUCCGUAUCUAUCCCUGAUUUUUUUCGUAUGUCACCGUCCCCUCCCCAUCCUCAUCAUAAUUACUUGAGAGAAUCUCCUUUCUCUUCCCGAAUAAUAACAUAGGGAUUCCCGAGGGUCCCCGAUCCCCGAUCCCCGAAUAACUAAUACAUAUUUUUUAUUUUUUAUUUUUAGUUAAUUCUAUUAAAAUAAAAAAUUCAAACAAAAGUAAAGUUCGAAAUAUAUUUUACAUUAACAUUGAUCCAUUAUAAAAGUCACAUGCAAAAUACAAAUUAUCAAAAUAAUUAUUUUUGUCAAUCUUCACAAUCCUACAAUAAAAAGAAAAAGAAUUUACUUUUAUAUCGACAAUAAAAUAAAUGAAAUAAAUGUAGAUACUUAAUUAAUAUUUUUAAUAAAAUAAAAUUAAAAAUUAAAAUAGAAUUUUUGGGCUAAUAGAAUCUAUCCGACCUUUUUAAUGUCUUAAAUAAAACUUUAGGACUUUAAUUAGUUAAUUAGGCCUAGAAGUUUAAUAAUAUAAAUAUUUUAAUAUUUAUUACUUUUACCAAUAGUUAUAAUUUUAUAAUAUAAUUCAAAUUUUAUUAUUUAUUUACUAGUAAUUUUAAAAAAUAAAAAUAAAAUUAAAAAUUAAAAUGGGGAAAUGAGGAGGGGAUGGGGAUUCCACCUCAUCCCCGCUCCUUCCCCGAAUAAGAAACUGGGUAAAAAAAUUUUCCCAUCCCUUCCCCGAAUAAGAAAUUGGGUAUAGAAUUAUCCUCGUACUCUCCCCGAAUGGGAAAAAUUCCCAAGAGUACCCGUCACCGAAUAAGAAAUUGAGUAUAGAAUUUAUUCUACUUUUUCUCAUAAUUUCAUGAAGAGAAAGAAGUAUCAUAUUUGCUAUUAUUUUUGUCGAGAAAUUUUUUUGAUUAAAAUAAUAUAUUUAUACUUUUAUUUAAAGAAUCUUUUAAUUUUUUUUCCACUCUUUCAUUUACAAUAUAUAAAAGUAAAUAAAUAGUUAAAGAAUUAAAUUUAGAAGAAUAUUUUAGUGAUCCUUUUAGAUUUACUUAGUGUCUGUUUGGUAUAAUUUAUGUAAUGCUCAUAAGUAUUUAUUUAAUUUCAUAAAUUCUUAUCAUAAUUUUUGUUACUGUUUAUUUUUUUUAGAGAUUUUACAGUUUAAAUAAGUUAUUUUAUUUCUACUAGUAAAAUCUCAAAUUAGGAGUAGAGAUUGAAUUUUUUUUAAAUAUUAAAAUAUCUAAAAUAUUCUCUACUUAUUUGACAUUCUUUUCAUAACAUAACUUUAAAAAUUUACCGAUUAAAAUAAUUUUAUAAAUUUUUAAUAAAUUUUUUUAUUAACAAUCAACAACUAAAAUUUUUAAGUAAAAAUUUUAUUUAUAAAAAUUUUGUUAUCGAAAACUUUAUUUAAAUAAAUUUUAUUUAAAAAAUUAUAUUAAACAGAGUCUUACCUCGCGAAUCGCGAUACCACAACUAUUUUGAAGAAAUCGAAGAAUGGAAAGAAUUGAAAAGGCAAAACCGCAUUGUAAAAGAGGACGUGGAUCAACGUACCGAGGCCACUAAUGACAAAUAACUACACAUUUUGAAGUAGACUCCCAAUAUCUACCUAACCUAAACGGGUACAGAAACCUUUUAUUUUUUUGAUCCCACUACAUUACGUUUAACAUAACAUACAUUCACACACAAUAAUAAUUUUCAUAAUAAAAUUCAUAACUAUUAUUAUGUGUGACGUACGUUACGUAGCAGCAGCCUUAUUUUUUUUAACAAUAGGUGCAGAUACGUACGAAUGCAUUAAUUAAUGAAAAGCAGAGGGUAGAAGAAAACAAAGCUACGUCGGCAGACACGUUGCAGUAGGGAUUCUGGAAUGCAUUAAUUAAGGGGCCUUAAGUAUUCAAUAGUCAAAGAAAUGAGAAGGCAGAGCGUAGAAGAAAACAAAGCCACGUCGCCAGACACGUUGCUGAAGGGACUAUGGAAUGCAUUAAUUAAGGGGUCUUAAAUAUUAAGUAGUGACAUCCUUUUUGUGUUUUUCCAUAAGAAGAUGCUGGAAUGCAUUAAUUAAGAGGCCCACUGUGAUUAAUUCAUAACUACUAGUAAUUUGUUUGUAUUCGAGUUGCUCCUUUGUAUAACUAGACGUGAAAAUGAGUGAUUGGUGGGGCGGUGGAGUCGAGGGUGCUAAGAGCAACAAAAAUAAAUUCUGAAGCAAUUGUUCUGACUCUUGAGUGCUUAUAUUUAUUUCAUUAAUCUCGGAAGAUAUGGCGUCUCAUAAGGUGCCUGGUAAUCGCAAAUUGAUAGGUUCUAAAUCAGAAUACUAUUUUAUGCUUUAUGCAGGUACUGAAGAAGUGAAGAGCUACGACCGGAUUGAUUUUGGUAUGUUUGGUCGGAGUUGGGCUCCCAUUGUUUCUUGGGCCGUGAUAGUUGUUCCCCACGAGCCGGAGAGUAAUUGGAGAAAAAAUUUACCUCCUCCAAGUGUCAAUAAUAUGGACCCCGCUAGCUCGCUUUGUGUUAUUGCAUCUGGUUCUUCUAAUGGUUAUAAGCCUAUAGGUGAUGAUAAAAAGGAUCGUCCUUUUCAUGGCGUUAGAACUACAGUUCCAUUGAACAAAUUGAAAUAUGAUCGUGAAGUGUUGCGCGGAGGUUCUCUUGUUUUGGAGAUUAAUCUUCUAGAGGUUUUUCACGGAGGAGAUGUUGUGGAUUCUGAUCAUACUUUUGAUGGUCAAGUGUUUUGGAACUUGUACUCGAAUUGAAUAUUGUACGGUGAGAUAAGUUGAUGUGUGUAUUAAUGGUAUUAUCUAAUAUAAACAUAGGAUUGGACAUAUAGUUGUGUCAAUGUAUUGUGUAAUUUAACUACCUCUAGAUAAUAUUAUCGUUUGUGUAAUGAUUGUAAUUGAUGUUUUGUUGGAGGAUCCUUUAGUAUGCUUAUAAAAAGGAUUCAAGUGUGUUGUAAGGAGCAGAGCUCUUCUAAGUCUAGUCCAUAAAUAAAUAAAAGAGUUGACUAUAAUGUAAUAUUGUGGGGUCUUCUACUGUGUCUAUAAAAGGAUCCAAGUGUGUUGUAAUAUGAGUAGAGAUUCAUGAAUUUAGUCUAUAAAUAAAUUAAACAAGUGUUUUAUAUAGUCCUUUUAUGAACAUGUAUGGUCUCAUUUCCUUCAUAAAGCAAUGUAUAGCCGUUGUGACAAAAUCUUAUUACUCAAGUUUACUCAUGAAUCCUUUACACAAAUGUUACAAAUGUAUAAUAACAAAAUUGAAAAGUCAUUUUCACACGUUACAAAUAUAUACUAACAAAAUUGAAAUAACAUUAUUACAAAUUAGAACAAUAUGUAAUAACAAAAAAUAAAUAAAUAAACUCGAGGCUUGUAAAGUUAAUAGUUUAUUUAAAACAAAUUAGAACAAUAUGUUUUAUAUAUUACUGGUGAAGAUGAAGAAGAGAUUCGAAUAACAAGAAAUACCUUAUUAGUUCGCUUCCAGAUGAAAAAGCUUGGUCAGCUUAAGCACUUCCUUGGUCUAGAAGUUAUCGAAUAGAAGAAGGGAUAUUUCUUUACCAACAAAAUUAUGCCAAAGACUUGCUGAAGAAGUUUGAAAUGAUGGAAUGAAAACUAAUCUCAACUCCAAUGGAAGUAAAUGCAAAAUUGUGCACACACGAAGGCAGAGAUUUACAAUAUAGAACAAUGUAUCAACAAUUGGUAGGUAGUUUAAUCUACCUUAUGCUGAAUCAACCGAAUAUUUCAUAUGUCGUUGGUGUCAUGAGUUGGUAAAUGCAAAAUCCAAAGAAGCUUCACUUGGAAGUAGUUCUGCGAAUAUUAAGAUAUGUGAAGAGUACAAACAAUUAUGGUUCAUUGUGCAAGAAAGAUGAAAUUACAAGCUGACUAGCUAUUGUGACGCUGACUACGCCGGAGAUCAUGAUACAAAAAGAUUAACUACUAGGUAUGUUUUCAGAAUUAGGUAUGGAGUAGUUUUUUAGUGUAGUAAGAGACAACCAACUGUAUCACUAUCAACCACAGAGGCAGAGUAUAAAACAACAGUGAUGACAUCUCAAAAAAGCACUUGGUUGAUGUAGUUGAUCAAGGAUCUACACCAACUAGUAGAUUAUGUAUGCAAUACCACUGUAUUGCGAUAAUCAAUCGAUAAUCAACUUGGUAGAAAAUCUAGUUUUCCAUGCAAGAACUAAGCAUGUAGAGGUCCAUUAUCACUUCAUCAGGGAAAAUGUCUUACAAGAUAAAGUUGAGAUGCGGUACGUCAAGACAAACAAUUAAGUUACGGAUUUUUUUUUUUUAUAAAAAGUCUUUGUACCAUGAAGUUUAAAAAGUUUCGUCAGCAGCUCAAUAUGGAUCGAAUGAUGAAACUUGGUUUUGAGGGGGAGUGUUAAAAGUGCAACACCAAUUUUAUGAUCCAAUUAAAUAACAUUUGUCCAAAUCCAAGUUCAUAACUCAAUCCAUAGAAGACUUAAGAAUUGUGUAGAGAACAUGGGACAUUUCUAAUAUAAAAAUAUUUAAUGAUGAUGAAAAUAUCUUAUUUUAGAAAUCUCUUGAACGGUGAUAUUUAUAAAAUGUGAUUGUUAAAUUUUUAUAAUUUAAUGUUUUGUGUGGUUUGUAUUAGUUUUAGGAUACUAUAAAUACCGCUAAAUUCUUUGUUGUAGGCAUCAAGAGAGGAGUGAAGAAUUAGUAGGAAGAAAGAAGAGUGAGCCGUGAGUAUCGUAGUGUUUUUCUUAUAAAAUAUCAAUAAAAUCCUUUAAUUUAGUAAAAUUCUUCUAUUUCUUAAAUAUUUUCAGUCUUAAGCAGCUUCGUCCUUCUUUCUCAACAAAAGCAUUCCAUUUAGUAUAUGAAAAGAAAGUUGUGAGCUUGUGAAGUGAGAAUAAUUAGAAUAUCUUUUGCAAUUGUUAUUUUCCCAAUUUUAAGUAACAGAGUUGCUUUCUCCUAGUAUAAGAGAGAUUGUAAUUGUUCUAUCCUUGUAUUCAAAGAAAAUUGUUAUAAUCCUCAUUUGAAUAGUGAAUUCUUUCUACUUUUGUUGUGGAUUUUUAACCCGGUUUAUUUGGAAUUUUUUCCACUUAAAAUUUUUGUGUCCCAUAUUUCUUCAUUUGUUCUUAAUAUCACUUUGGUUUCGGUCUGAUACGGUCCUUAAUUUCCUAAUAGAAAACAACCGAAACCAUCCAAUAACGAGAGUGAUCUCUGAAAGCUCCAUUGCAGAACAUGGAUAACCGCUGCUUCGGCCAUCUGUAUUAACUUUUACCCAGCCAUGCACUAUCGGGCAAAUUUUAGCAAAAUAUUGAAAAUGAGAGGUAUAACCAACUUGUAUUAGAUGAAAGGAGGAUGGGGUGUUUUCAUAUCGUAGCUCUGUCACGGCAUCGAUGUGAAGAAGAUGAGUUGGUCAUGUCUAAUUAACAAAAAAAAAAAAAAAAUCCUUUCUGCUAAUCCCAAUUUCAAAGCUUUCUUGUGUCGGACUUUAAUUCUAACUUUGUAAUAUCACACUUUCAAUGGUUAUUUUACCUUUAUAUUCACUAUUGACUUAUAGGGGUGAAAUGAAUAAUUAAAACUCUAUUAUGGAUAUAAAUAACAAAAAAGAAAUUUAUGUGUCGCGGAACUGGUACUCAUAUGAAAAUAACAUUUGACAAUAUCGAACCAUUGGAGCACUAAAUAAAUUAUAGCAUUAUAUAAAAGGGGAUUUGAAUACAUGCUCAUGUUAUGCCCUACGGACUUUCUUUUGUAUUUGUUGGCAAAAAUUUGCAGAUCGUAGAUAUUUGCCCCUAAGGUAACAAAACUGCAAAAGCAUUUCGUGGGUAACAAGUAGUCGGGCUUUUAUCUAGAAUAUCUUUAUUCUUCCAUACCAAUAAAUCACUUAGAUUUUAUGGGCUACGGAUGGAAAUUGUUAAAUUCAUUAUUUAUAGAGUUUGUAUUUUAUGGCAAGUCUAGUUAAAUUAGAAUUUUAUUUAUUGUAUAUUUUGUAAUAGUGAUUAAUUUAUUAAUUCCCUAAUUUAGUGAGAUUUCAAUUUAUUAAGAAUAUUUAUUUCCUAAUUUAAUUAGAUGGCUAACUUAAAAAGUCAAUUAAUGAUGUGAUUCUAUAAUUGGCGCAUGAGCUCUAUUUUGAGUAUGAAGUCAGUUCAAACAUGAAGUUUAUUAAAUGAUUUAGAUAUUUCUUGGGAGACAAGUAAUGUAAGAAAAUUAGAUUUAUUCCUAUUCAGAUUCAUAGGAAUUAUAAAAGAAAAUAAACUCUUAUUUGGAAAGAAUCAAAAUCUUUUAAAAGUUAUUAUUUUUGUGAAAUCCUAGUGCCUAUAUAAAGAGAGGUAUUUCACAAUUGAAGGUGUGCAACACGGAGCACAAAGCAGGGACGCAAAAUUCGGCAUUCUCCCUAAAGAAUCCUAAUUUGGCACAUAAUAUUGUGUUGAUUUAUUUACUUAUCUUCUUUUCAUAUUUGUGUAGAGUCUAUGUGAAUUUUGGAUCACUAGACAUUAAAAAAUUAAAUAAUUGUUAUUGAUCACUUUGCGAAGUGCGUUAAGUAUCGUGGAUCAAGAGGGGUAGUAAUUAUUUAAGAAAAGCAAAUUCACUCUGUACAAUGAUAAACUGUAAAUGAGAGUUUUAAGUUUGAUAAAUCUAUGGUUGUAACAUCUCAACUUAGUGAAUUACUUUUCAUCUGAGCUUGACCUCGUGGAUGUAGAAUUAAUUAAUCUGAAUCACGUAAAAAUCUCCGUACCAUUUAAUUUCUGUAAUUUAUUGUAUUUUUGAAAAAUUAAUAUUUUGAUGCGGAUAAACAAUAACCGUAAACAUUAACUAUAAACAAUAAGCGUAAACAAUAAUGAUGAAUAGUAAUGGUAAACAAUAUUUCCGAAAGUUAAUUAAGUUGUUAAUUUUAAAUUUUUAAUUACCUACAUCUAAAUUGCCUACAUUUAGUGCAAUUUUGAAAGGUAUUAAAUUGGCAGCGGACUUGGGGUUUCUUCCGCUACUGAUAGAGUCCGAUUCAGUUAAUGUCAUUAGUCUCAUCUCAGGAAAAAUUAACAGCCAAUUAGAGAUUGAUUGGCUAAUAUCUGAUAUUAAAAGUUUUAUUUGUAAGAAAAGUGUUUGCUAUAAGACACAUUCCCAGAUCCGGUAAUUCAGCAGCUCACAAAGCUGCAAAAAUGGCUCUUGAUCAUGCUGAGUCGCGCACAUGGUUACAGGAUGCGCCUCCUGACAUUGUACCUCUCUUGUAAUGUUAUGGUGUAAUCAAUGAAAAUUUUAUUGUAAAAAAAAAAAUCCUUUCAGAAAUUAAUAUAUACUAUUUUAAUGUGGAAAAUCCCUUCAGAAUUAGUUCGAUAAAUACAAUAUUCAUCCAGUUACCGCAGGCUAAUAAUGCUCAUCCUGGAUAACUCAUGUCGCUUUUUACAUAUGCUGUAAUCUAAUUGGUGUGAUUAUCUUUGUAGCCCUACCUUCUCACUUGGCCAGAAUCGAGGUUAUAUAUGGUCAUGCAAUUAUACAUGAAAAAAGAAUAUCUUUCCAGUAGUUCAUUUUCCCUUUCACAUAGAGCGUACUGAGGAUAUAUAUAUCGGAAACCUGAGAAAACUAAUGAGAUAUUUGAAGGUUAAAGGGGAAGCCGGCUCCGUUAUUAAAAGCAAACUUCUUUAUUUAUUUAUAGACUAGAGUCAAGGAGCUUCACCCGUUACACACUUGAAUCCUUUUUCUAGGCACCAUAAAGGAUCCCAACAAUUAUACAUUACAAGUCAUUACCUUUAUUUAUAGACCAGACACAAGGCGCUCUGCCCAUACAACAUACUUGGAACAUUUUUAAAGGCACACUAAAAGACCAUCCACAACAAAACAUUGAUUCGAUCAUUACACUGGAGGUCGCCUUUUCAUCGGAAAUUGAGAUUUACCUUACCAAGAGGUAAUAUCAACGUUACACAAAACAUGACAUAUAACCAUGUCUAACCUUAUAUCUAGAUUAGAUUACACAGUACACACCAGCUUAAUUAUCUUACAGUAGUAUUCAAUUGGAAUACAAAUGCCAAUACACUUUACCAUCGAAAGUAUGAUCAGAAUCCAGAACAUUUCCAUGAGGUACCUCUAUAAGAUUAAUCUGCAAAACAAGAGAACCUCCUUCCUGCACAUGACGAUCUUUAUACAGUUCAUCUAAUUGAACCAUAGUUCUAAGGCCAUGAAUAGGACGAUUUUUAUCAAUAGGCCUAUAACCAUUAGUAUAACCAGAUGCAACAACAUCAAAAGAUACUUCAGCAUCCAUAUUAUUGGCGGCUGCAGGAGGCAGAUCUCCUCUCCAAGCAUCCUCGUUAGCUCUGGGAACAAAUAGGACGGCCCAGGAAACAAUAGGAGCCCAACUUCGACCAAACAAACCAAAAUCCAUCCUAUUCAAGUCCUUCAAAACACCAGGAUCUGCAUAACGCAGAAAAAAGUAGUCUGAUUUAAAACCUAUCAAUUUUCGCUGAUCACACGCCAUAUCUUCCGUGAUUAAUGAAAAAUAAGCGCUCAGAAUCAGAUCACUUGCCUCAGAAAUUAUUUUCGUUGCUCUGUCACUCUUUUUUCUGCUGCCGUCCAAAGACAUUUUCACGUCUAUUUAUGCAAGGGAGGAAUUCGAACACAAACAAAUCACAAAUAAUUAUUAAUUAAUUAUAAUAGGACUCUUAAUUAAUGCAUUCCAGCAUCUCCUUCUGCAACGUGUCUGGCGACGUGGUUUUGUCUUCGUCUGUGCUCCGCCUUUCAUUUCUUGGAUAUCUUCAUCAUAGGUAUUAGAGCCAAGUUAAGGUUAGGUAGAUGAUACAAGUCCUCUUCAAAAGGAUUUUGCUAGUAUUAGAGCCUAGUAAUGUAAGAUAUAAUCUCUCGUAAAAUUGUGGGCCUAAGUGGAACCUACAACUAAAUUUGUAUGAGACUGUACCUUACAUUACACGCUUCCUUUAACAAUUGACACAUGUUAAUUAAUGCAUUCCAGCAUCUCCUUCUGCAACGUGUCUGGCGACGUGGUUUUGUCUUCGUCUGUGCUCCGCCUUUCAUUUCUUGGAUAUCUUCAUCAUAGGUGUUAGAGCCAAGUUAAGGUUAGGUAGAUGAUACAAGUCCUCUUCAAAAUAGCUCUCUGUCACAAGUGGUUCCGGUACGUAGAUCCACGUCUUCUUUUGCAGCGUGGUUUGGCCUUUUCAGUUCUUCUCAUUCUUUGAUUUCUUCGAAUAGUUAUCUGCAUCGUGUUUACAGGUUAGGUAAGACUAAGGAUUGGGUUCGCACAGUUCUAAUAUUUUGAUUGGACCAUCCUGCAUCUAUCUCUUAUUUAGUUUAGCAUGACUUAUUUAACAUCAUAAAUAUUUCUUUAAUUUUAUAAUUUUUUAAAUAUUAAAUAAAUUAUUUUUUUAUUAGUAAAAUUUUAAAUUUUGAGUUUUUGAAAAUAGAUUGAAAAAUAUUUUUAAAAUAUUAAAAUAUUAUUUAUUUAUUUAAUAAUUUUAUUUCAUUCAUUUUAUAACAUAAAUUUAAAAAAUUACCUAUUAAAAAAAUUUAUAAUUUCUUAAUAAAAACUCUUAUUGAUAGUCAAAUACCUUAAAGUUUUAGUAAAAGUUUGCUUGUAAAAGAUUUAUUAACAAAAGUUAUGCCGAAAUAAAUUUUAUUUGAAAAAUUAUAUCAAGGCUUGAUUUGGUAUCAAAAGAAAAUUAUCAUACACUUAUAUUUUUAUAUUAUCAUUUAAAACUGAUGAGAAGAGUAAAGAAAGAUCAAACCAGAGUCAAGAAAGGUUAACAUAAAAUGAAAGAAAAGCCUCGGGCAUUAUACUAUGAUUUGGGAGAAUGAUGCGUUAUUUAGUUUUGGUGGGUGUAAAAGGAAAACGAAGCUUAAUAAUAUGAGCUUAAAACUCAAUUAAAAUGAGUUUAAUGAAGGGUAGUUUUAGCAUUUUAAAGUGCGAUCAUAGUUAAUUUUAAUUUUUGUAAUUUAUUGAAUAAACUAUUUGCAAUGAAUUAAGAAAAGUAAUCAAUAAUUAUAACAAUAAAAGUAAUGAUUACUGAAACAAACCAUCUCGAACUUCAAGAGCAAAUCUAUCUAAUUUCUUUUAACGUGAUUACUAAAACUUAUUAAUAAGGAUUUUGCUAAAAUUUUCCAACAUGCAAAUCUUCAAAACAAACACUUUCAAAAUAAUUCAAUACACAACAAACUUGCUCAACCUUCUCAACCAUGAUAUUGAAUAUCACCUAAACACUUAUAAAGUAUCAAAAGAUUAUGUUAUAGCUAAUGUCAACAUAUAUUAAACAUUCAUAAUCAUCAAAUCAUAAUACAAUUAUACAAUCCAAAAUGAGAUGAUCUAAAUGCCCUAAUAAUAUCAUUUAUAUCUUUUAGCACCAUCACGUGGCCAAAAUUCAAAAACACUACAGUUGUUGGGUCGAUUAAUGUAUCCACAACCUUCUGUGGGGGAAAAGUAUAAUAAAAUGGAAUGAAUAUAAAACUCAACGAGUGAAUAAUAACUUUUGAAAAUAAUAUAUUUUAAAAUAAUUAUAUCUUUUCAAUAUACUAUUUUCAUCAAACUAUAAGUAAGAACAUAGAUAAAUUAUUCGAACUUUAAAUAAAACAACUAUCGUUUUAAUUUUAAAGUGCGAUCGUAGUAAAUUUUUAUUUUGUUAAUUUAUUGAAUAAACUAUGUACAAUCAAUUAAGAAAAAUAAUCAAUAACUAUAACAAUGAAAGUAUUGAUUACUGCAACGACCCACCUCAAACUUCGAGGGCAAGUCUAUCUAAUUUCUUCUAACGUGAUUAGUAAAACUUAUUAAUGAGGAUUUUGCUAAAAGUUCAUCGACAGAGUCCCCCCCUAUAUUUAUAAAAUUUCUAACAUGCAAAUCUAAACACUCCCAAAAUAAUUCAAUACACAACUUGAAAUACUAACUAGGCAACCCAAGAGGGGGGGUGAAUUGGAAUUUUAUAAAUUAAGCUAAGCAAACACACAACAAUCCAAUCUAAUGCUUUAAUAAAUUCGAAAACAAUAAAUUCAAUGAAAGCACAAUAAUAAAUGAGCAAGGGAAGAGAAAGCAAACUCAAUGAUUUUUACGUGGUUCGGCAAUCCCCGCCUACGUCCACGCCUCCAAGCACACCGGGCUUGAUGAUUUCACUAUUCGAGCCUUUCCAAGGCUUUAAUCGUUUACAAUUGACUUCAAUGUGUCAAUGAACCUUUACAACAAGAGAUUAUCUCUCCAAUCUCUUCACCCCAAGUGUUUCUCACACUUGUACACUCACAAUUUGAUGAGAAAUGAAAAUUACAACAAUAAAACUCUCUUUAAGAGUGGAUAUACAAAUUGAAGAACAAAGAUGAUUUAAUAAAUGAUGAUUUACGAAAUUGAAGCUCAAUAUAUGUUGUGUGCACUUGUUUUUGCUUGCCAAGAUUACCAAAAAUGAAUUGGUUUUGAGUUUAUAUAGUUUGAGCUCAAAAACUAGUCGUUAUGCACUUUUUGGUCAUAACCGCCUUAUUGUUUAUGGAAUCCGAUUAGCCGCUUGUAUGUUAUCGUUACAGCCAAAAUUUGAAUUUCUGAACAUCCGGUAUGCCGCUUAUAAAAUCCGGAUAGCCGUUUAUGCUCCAGAAGCUUACUGCCCAACAACCGGAUUACCGUUUGUCAGGAUCCGAUUAGCCGCUUUCAAUUCGGAUAGAUUAUGCCCAACAUCCGGCUUACCGAUUUUUCACAUCCGGUUAGCCGCUUGCUACAGUGACUGCUAUAGUGAACUAUUUUCUAAAAUUAUAGUUUAACCCCAAAACUUUCCAUAACUGUACUAGGGCCCAAAACGUUAUAAAUUUAGCAAAUAAGUCCAAUUUCAGAAUCUCUAAAUAAUACUUGCUAUUCUCAAAACUUUUUGAAAUUAUGAUAUGGCCCAAAAUAAUAUGAAACUGUUCAAAUAAGUUAUUUUCCAAAAUUUCAAGCAAUACUUGUUGAUUUCAAAGUUUUCAAAAUUCUUUCAAUUAAACCAUAAACUUGAAAAGCAACCAAUUUCAUAAAAUCAUUUUUCCAUUAAAUAUGAAACUUUUAUAAUGAGAAAAUAAUGAUUUAUUUAAAAAGUAUAAAAAAUAAUUUGAGCUUAAAAGAUUAAUCAUUCUUAAUCUUGUUUGUUAUCAUCAAAAUCAACAUUAUGGAAACAUAUAUGUUAACAAUCUCCCCCUUUUUGAUGAUGACAAACAUUUCAUGUAUUUAAAGAAUGAUUCCACAAAUUGCUCCCCUAAAUAUAAUCUUCUCUUACAAUUUGCCAAUUAGCUAAAUUAACAGAUUUAAAUAGAUGGAUUUUUCUCCCCCUUUAUCAUCAAAAAGAAAACUUAAUUGGCAAAGAAAAAGAGUAGUAAAUUUUUAUAAAUUUAAAAAUAUGUAUUCUUCUCCCCCUUCAUCAUCAAAAAGAAAACUUAAAGGAAAAGAAUAAGAGUAGCAAAUUUAUUACUCAUGUUUGUCCAAGUAGAAAUUUCAACACAUUCUCCCCCUAACAACAAGCAUUACCUUAAAUACAAGUUUAGUAAUAUUACUCCCAAAUUAUUAUAAAUCAUGAUACAAGCCAACUCCAUACACAAAUCAUCACACCAAAAUAUCAUGAACCAUUAUUCCAUUAAUUACCAAAUCAACAACUCAUAACAUAAAAUUAUCAUAUAAAACAACUAUGUAAUUAAUCAUCAUUAUCUCAAAAUCAUCAUCAUAAUCAAAUAUCAAUCAUUAAAAGAAUACUCAAAGUGCAUAUUAUUCUCCUCAUUUUAACAACAUCGAAAUGAUAUAUUACUUUGUCUCCCCCUUUGGAUAAUAAAAAAGUUCAAAAUGCAUAUUAUUCAAAAUCAUAUUAUAUGCUCCCCCUAAAUAUAUGACCAAUUUAAAAUUUUAACCAAAAUAAUUUUAUCCCAAAACAUAUCAUAUUUGUCUCCCCCUAUCAAUCAUCAAAACCUCAAAUCAAGCACAUUAGUUCAAAAUUAUCCAAAACAUAAGUAAAGAACAUAACAUAUAACUAUAUCAAAUCUAUAUAAUUCAAAACAGACAUAUAAUCCAAAAUCAUAGCAAACAUCCAUAUAAUCCAAAUGCAAAAUAAAAGAAAAAUAAAAUAGUAAAUGUUGGUGUGUUCAAAUACAAGUAUAAAGGAUUUGAAGUGAAAAAGGAUGAGAUUGAUGGAUUUUAGAGAGAUAUUGCGUGAGAGAGGAAGCGAUUUUUAGUGAGAGAGUAACCAAUUGACUGAAUGAAGGAGAAGAGGAUGAACAAAAUUUGAAUGCCUGAAUCUGGCUUACCGGAUUUCACUAACCGGUUAGCCGGUUGUGGUCCAGUGAGUGUGCAACGUGAAUUCGGGUUUCUGGUUUACAUAACCGGUAAUCCGGUUAAGUCCUGUGAUGAAUGGUCACGAAUCCGGUUAUCCGGAUAUUCCUAACAUGUUAAUCGGUUGGAGGCAGCAAGUAAGCAACGCGAAUCCGGUUUGCCGGAUCUCAUAACCAGCUAUCCGGUUGUGUCCAGCAAGCAUCAAACUAAAUCCGGUUUUCUGGAUUUCAUAACCGGUUGACCGGUUCUUUCCAGAAACCAAAUUCUCUUCAAACGGUUUAUUGGUUUUCCAAUCCGGUUAUCCGAAAUAUGACUUAGAGAAUAAUUAAUAAAAAUGAUGGUUUUCCGGUUGAUUAGAAGAGGUUUAUCGGUUAAAAUAUAGAGAAUAUUUUUGAAGUUUAGUAAACUCUUAGACUUGUAUUACACACACUAAUUUAUUUUUAGCUUAAAAAUUGAUCAAUUUUUGAAUCAUUUUGAGAUUCAAAAUUUUUCAAUAAGCCAUUUAAUGCAUGAGACAUAAAUGUAUACAAGACCAAACAUAUGAAAUCGUAUCAAACAAUGAUGUCAAUUUUAUAAAUGAAUGAUGAUAUAAACACAAUUAAUGGCAUAUGAAUUCACACAUAUAUAAGAGAUUGACAAUGAUGAUAGACAAUUAAGAAGAUGAAAUCAAAGACCAUACAAUCAUCAAAAUCAAACAAAGACAUCAUGAUAAAUCACUCAAUGUUAUACACAAUGAUAAUUCCAUCAUGUAAACAUACAAGCAUACUUUCGCAAAUUCAUAAACAUGAUUCAUUCAACAAAAUUAAUAUGGCAAGAAUUGUUACCAAAACAAUUAAAUCAUCUUGCCUCAUCUUUUUCUCCUAGAUCAUACUCAAGUGAUUAUCCUCACAAGCUUUCAUCAAGGAACUUCUCCACCAUUCCUUGAUUGUGGUACCUACAAAGAAAACAUUCACGUUGUGCCCUUUGGUACCCAAAUACUCUUGGGUCCUUGAGUGUUAGCAAUGGUUCCUUUUGGAACCCAAACACAUUUUACUCCAUAAUAUACUUUUCUUUUAAUAGGACAACCAAGCUUCAUGUGACCAUUUUGAUUACAAUAAUGACAUACAACUUGAUUGUUAAUAGAUGUACUCUUCACAAAGUAGUUCUUAUAAUACUUUUGUUUCAAAUUUGGCUUAUAACCAAGUUCUCCUUUAUCAAACACACAUUUUUGUGAAUUAAUCAAGUUAUCCAACAUCUUUUGUCCAUUUGUAAAUUUUAAAACAAUCUCAUUUAACUCAUUGCUUUUCUUCUUAAGCAUUUCAUUUUCCUUUUUCAAGUCAUCUAUGUGAUAUUCUAGAUGCUCAUGUGAAGUGCUAGGUUUCUCAUUUGAUAAUGCAACUCUAUCAUGCAAUGUUUUAUUCUCUAAUUCUAGGCAUGUAAUCUUUGCACAUAGAGAUUCAUUUUCAUUUUUGAGCUCUACCAUUUUCUUUUUAAGACAUGCAUUCUUUUUACCAAUUUUCAUCCACUCAUCAUGCAAUUCUUUAAAAGCAUCAUGUAAUUCAUCAUAAGUAGGAAGAUCAUUUACCUCAUCAAGUUCAUCAUCCGAUUCAUCUCCAAUUGCCAUAAGAGCUAAAUUUGUCAUUUCUUGAUGCUCUUCAUCAUCACUUGUUUCCUCCUCGCUAUCAUCCCAUGUGGCUACCAUUGCUUUCUUCUUGAGCUUGUUGAGAAGAGGGCAUUCCGAUCUUAUAUGGCCAGGUUUCUUGCACUCAUAACAUUUGAUUACUUCAUUAUUCUCCUUUCGGUUCUUGAGGUCUUUAAAUUUUCUUCGCUCACUGGAUUUCUUAAAAAAAUUUCUAAACUUCCUAGCCAGCAUAUCCAUCUCCUCCUCAUCCAACUCGCUUUCCUCAUCACUCUCAUAUUUCAAGGCUUUGAGAGCAAUGUUUUUCUUCUUCUCCUCAUUGCCUGUUUCGGCUGCCAGGUCUUCCUCAUAAGAAAUAAGAGAACCAACUAAAUCAUCAAUAGGUAAGAUAUUUAAAUCUUUGGCUUCCUCAAUGGCAGUCCUUUUUGGUCUCCAUUCCUUAGGUAGCGACCUAAUAAUUUUCUUAACUUUCUCGCUAUUUGAAAAAGUCUUUCCUAGGGCUCCUAGAGUGUUCACUAUGUCUGUAAAUCUAGUAUACAUAUAAUACACACUCUCAUUUUGUUCCAUUUGGAACAAUUCAUAUUGUCGAGUGUACCUACUAAUUUUAGACUCUUUCACUUGAUUCGUGCCUUCAUGAACAACUUCAAGUUUGUGCCAAAUUUCAUUAGCACUCUCACAACUAGAUACUCUAUGAAAUUCUUUCUUAUCUAGUGCACAAAACAAGGCAUUCAUAGCUUUGGAAUUUAGAGUAGCUUUUCUCUUUUCCAAUUCAUUCCAUUCCCGUGAAGGUUUUGGAAUAUCUUCCCCGACUUCAUUUUUAGUCAAAGGCAUAAAAAGACCAUCACAAACAACUUCCCAAAUUUCAUAAUCUAGUGCUUGUAAAUAAAUUCUCAUCCUAGUUUUCCAAUACGGGUAGUCAUUUCCGUCAAAGAACGGUGGUCUAAUUGUGGAUUGUCCUUCUCUAAAGGUUGAGUCAUUAUGGGUUGCCAUGGAUCUUUAACUCUAGACGGUUAAGUCUACACAAGAGCACCUCGCUCUGAUACCAAAUGAAAUACUAACUAGGCAACCCAAGAGGGGGGUGAAUUGGAAUUUUAUAAAUUAAGCUAAGCAAACACACAACAAUCCAAUCUAAUGCCUUAAUAAAUUCGAAAACAAUAAAUUCAAUGAAAGCACAAUAAUAAAUGAGCAAGGGAAGAGAAAGCAAACUCAAGGAUUUUUACGUGGUUCGGCAAUCCCCGCCUACGUCCACGCCUCCAAGCACACCGGGCUUGAGGAUUUCACUAUUCGAGCCUUUCCAAGGCUUCAAUCGUUUACAAUUGACUUCAAGGUGUCAAUGAACCUUUACAAUAAGAGAUUAUCUCUCCAAUCUCUUCACCCCAAGUGUUUCUCACACUUGUACACUCACAAUUUGAUGAGAAAUGAAAAUUACAACAAUGAAACUCUCUUUAAGAGUGGAUAUACAAAUUGAAGAACAAUGAUGAUUUAAUAAAUGAUGAUUUACGAAAUUGAAGCUCAAUAUAUGUUGUGUGCACUUGUUUUUGCUUGCCAAGAUUACCAAAAAUGAAUUGGUUUUGAGUUUAUAUAGUUUGAGCUCAAAAACUAGUCGUUAUGCACUUUUUUGUCAGAACCGGCUUACGGUUUAUGGAAUACGGUUAGCUGCUUGUUUGUUACUGUUACAGCCAAAAUUUGAAUUUUUGAACAUCCGGUAUGCCGCUUAUGAAAUCCGGAUAGCCGUUUAUGCUCCAGAAGCUUACUGCCGAACAAUCGGAUUACCGUUUGUCAGGAUCCGGUUAGCCGCUUUGAAUUCGGAUAGAUUCUGCCCAACAUCCGGCUUACCGGUUUUUCACAUCCGGUUUGCCACUUGCUUCAGUGACUGCUACAGUGAACUAUUUUAUAAAAUUAUAGUUUAGCCUCAAAACUUUUCAUAACUGUAUUAGGGCCCAAAACGUUAUACAUUUGAUAAAUAAGUCCAAUUUCAGAAUCUCUACAUAAUACUUGCUAUUCCCAAAACUUUUUGAAAUUAUGAUAUGGCCCAAAAUGAUAUGAAACUUUUCAAAUAAGUCCUUUUCCAAAUCGAAACCCGAUAUGCCCACCCCUAUUUUAAAGCCGACAGACCAAUGGAAGAAAUGGAAAGCAAAAAUAUGUUACAGUUAUUAACUUGAUUCUUGGGUAUUAUAAUCUCAAUAUUUAACAUGAUGUUGUUUCUCAUAUUAGUUUCUAUCUUCUGCGUUGAGACCUAGAGUCUUAUUUAAGUUGGCAUCUUGUAAGGGUUGGCAUUCUUAUUGAAUUGUAAUUCAUAAAUUGAAGGCUAUGUUAAUUGGGAGAUUUCUUAAUUUAGUUAUUUUCUUAAAAUUAGGAUUUAAGUCUUUUCAUUUUAAGGAUUUACUUAGAACACAUAGUCUAAUUUUGGAAGCAAAUCAAAAUUUAAAAAAAAAAAGGCUCUCUAUAACUUGUUAUAGAAGUUAUACAUUGAAGAUAGUUCAUCACAAGCAGAAAAAUAGAAUUUUAAGGUGGAUGAACAAUGCUAUAAAUAGUAUUAGAUGAACAAUAUUAGUUAAUAGUGUCUAUUGAAACUAUUCAUUGAACUUUAAUCUUUAUAGGGUACACGCUUAUUUAGUCUCUAUAUUGUCACUCAAAUAUAUGUUUAGUCUCACAUUAUAAAAUAUAUCUCAAAACACUCAUAUAGUUAAAUAUGUUACAUUCUUAUCCUUUUUUGGUUUUAUGAUAACACCCUUCAAACAAUAUUCUUGACAUGAAUUAAGGUAUCUAUAAAAAAAAGUUAAUUAGCAUCUUAACCAAUAAUUAAUUAUUAGCAAAUUAAUUAACAAAUACCACUUUGAAAGAACUAAUAUUUUUGUACUCUUGCAACAAUCUUACUAAUAAUUAUUUAUAAAUAAAUUAAUAUUAGCCAACUUAAAACAAUGUUUAUUAAUAUCUUUACAACAAUUUUAAUAAUAAUUUUUUUAUAAAAAUUAAUUUACUAAAUUAAUUCUAAAAGUAAAAUAAUAAUAUAAAAGUUUGGGUAAAUUUUUAUGUUACUUUAAAGAUAAAUUUUGGUAAAUUAACAAUUUUUAUUGAUAUCCCAAGAAUAUUGUUGCAAGAGUGUUAUCAUAAAAAGAAAAAAAUUAAGGGUAACAAAUUAAGGGUAGGAAUGAAACAUAUUUGACCUCAUGGGUGUCUUGAGAUGUGUCUCUCUGUGUGUAACACUUAAAUCAAAAUAUAGGGAUUAAAUAAGUAUUUACCUAUUUUAUAUUCAUCCCACUCUUAGAUAUACUUUUGGUGUGUUUGGGAUUGAGGUUGAGCAGCUGUAGCUUUUAAGCUACAACACUAAAGUGUUUGGUAAACACUAGCUGAUGUACCUUUAAAGUUAUGUUAAUAUGAUUUUUCACUUGUAUAAUAAAAUAUCUAUUAUAUCUUUAAUGAUUUUGUCAAAAUUAUUAUUUAAAAUUUAUAUUUACUAUAUAUUAUUGAUUUUUGUUUUAUAGUUACAGCUUUUUUUUCCAUAGCAGUUGUAGCUUAAAAGUUAUAGCACCUCAAUCCCAAACAGGACCUUUGUUAAUUGGUCUCUCUUCGUUAAUUGGUCUCUUCCAAAAAAGAUGUUGUUUGGAGCAGUUAAGUAAUUUCAUAUCAAGGUUAUGAACAAGAAGACAAAUGGUUCUCGCAAAUUACAUAUGCCUUAGUUGACUGAGAUGGCGGCAAAAGUAAAUUUUCCUACAUAUUAAAAUACUAAAUGUGAUAUAAGAACCAACUAUAAGCAAGUUAAAUUGAUGAUUUGGUAUAAUUACAAUAAUUAUUAUUUUUAAUUGAUUUGUGGGUUGAAAUGGCUAUAUAAUCAUUCUUAAGUGCGAGCAUCCAUAUUUUUUUGGGAAAAGGACAAACACACCCCCAACGUUUAGGCAAAUGGAUAAAAAACCUCCUAACGUUUUAAAAAAGACAUUUACACCCCAACUUAUUAUAAUUUUACCAUUAUACCCUUCUAGCAUAUAAAAAAAUUUAUUAGAUUAUCUAAUUUGUCUAUAUAUUGUUAACAAAAUUAUAAAUAGAAAAAUUGGAUAUUAUUAAAAAAUUAUAAAUAUACCCUCAUUGCCCAAAUCUUCUAUUUAAAUUUUUAUCAAUAACCAAUUUUCAAAAAAGACAUCUAUACACCUAAAAAAUUAUAAAUAAAUUAUAAUUUUAAAAAUAAAAUUGGUUAUUAAUAACCAAUUUUAUUUAAAAUUUAAACUUUUAUAUUUAACAAUUCUCCACAUGUCAAUCAUUUAAACCUGUACAUUUAUAACCAAUUUUCUAUGUUAUUUAUUAUGGUAUUAAUAACCAAUUUUAUUUUUAAAAUUAUAAUUUAUUCACAAUUUUUUUUUAAGUGUGUAGAUGUCUUUUUCGAAAAUUGGUUAUUGAUAAAAAUUUAAAUAGAGGAAUGAGGCAAUGAGGGUAUAUUUAUAAUUUUAUUAAUAAUAUACAGACAAAUUGGAUAAUCUAAUAAUUUUUUUUAUAUGUUAGAAGGGUAUAAUGGUAAAAUUAUAAUAAAUUGGAGGUGUAAAUAUCUUUUUUCAAAACGUUAGGGGGGCUUUUGUCUCUUUGCCUAAACGUUGGGAGUGUGUUUGUCAUUUUUCUUAUUUUUUUUAAUACGGAUACGCUCUUAAACUGUAUAAUUAAAAAAGAUAAGUUUUGAAAUAAAUUAUAAUAUUGUACUGUUUAAAAGAAUUAAAAACUAACUCUCUUUAAUUUCACAACUUAAAAACGUAGCCAAAAGGAAAUUUUAGGGUGCCGGCAUUGAAAAAAAACACAUAUAAUGCUUAUCAAAUCUAAGAUUAAAAUUCGGAAUUAAAAUUUGAGACGUAUAUAAAAUAUCGUAAAAGUAAUUUAGGAUGCCAUAAAUUCAUACUGGUGUCUAGUUCUAAACUUUAUCUCCAGAUUUCAAACAUUCAUCGCUUUGUGGCCCCUAUUUUCUUUGUUUUUCUAACUUUCUUCCGGUGGCGGAGCCCACCAUUGGAAGAAGUUAAUUUUUUUUUUUGACAUUUUUUUCAUUGUCUAGCCCACCACCAUGUUUGACUCUUCUCUAGAAAAAGUUGCUUUUCUGGGUUUCUCAAUGAUGCUCUAAUUUUUUUACAGCAUCAAUAAUAUUUUUAAUUGUGUAUCAUUAAAUUUAAUCAAUGAUAUAUUUAAUCAAUGGUAUACAAUAUUUAUAGUAAAAAAAAUAAUAAACGGUUAAUAAAUGUGUAAGGGGUGGAAAAUUUUAUAAAAUAACUAUGAUCAUCCUUAGAGUUUGAAACAAUUUCACUUAAAUAGCAUAUUUUAUUUAAAAUUAUUUUUCAAUCCUCCUUUAAAUUUGAAUUGUGAUAAUCUUUUUUUAAAUAAAUCUUCCAAAAUCUAUUACCAUGAAGUAUAAAAUAUAAUGGUAGGUUAUUUAACACAAAUCAAAUAAAUAAGUUACAAUUAUAAAAUUUAUAUAUGAUAUAAUAGUAAUAAAUAACACAACUAAGUACAUAUACUUAAGUAAAUGCAUAGUUACAUCAAUAAACUCAUUGUUGAGAUUGCUUGUAAUAUAAAAAUUACUUGAUCACACAUGUUUUAAUAAAAUUUAAUAUCGUAUAUUAAAAUACUUAUUAUUUUAUAUAAUAUUAAGGGCCAUUGUAUAAUUGAUCAUGAAGUAUGUAUUAUUUUUAACACCCAUUUAACAUACUUAUUCUCUGAACUUUAUAUUUAUCUUACAAUUAAUAUCCUUACAUGGUAGGAAUUUUAAGUUUUAUAAGCCUAUAUAUUUUCAUUUUAUUUUCAAAUAUCACUUUGUUAAUUUCAUAAAAGUUAAAUCUAAUAUAUAUUCCUAAUGAGCUUUAGUUUAUGAAUCGUGAAAGAUUAUUUUAUUGAUAUCAUUUGAUUGUAAUUAUAAAAUUUUAUGUUAUUAAGAGUCAUUACUUUUGUUAUGAUAAUUAAUUGUGACUAUAAAUAAAAUAUUGUCUCCAAUAAUAUUUACACAGGAAAAAAAGUGAACGAAAAUCAUUUGUAUUUUUAGAUUUUUAUUGACAUGGUAGGAAAUUAUCUCAGCCUUAAAACAUUUAACUUUCACAAGCUUGUUUUCAUUUUAUUUUCAAAUGUCACUUUGUUAAUUUCAUAAAAAUUAAAUCUAACACAUAUUCCUAAUUAACUUUAGUUUAUGAAUUAUAAAAAAUUAUUUUAUUGUUAUUAUUUGAUAGUAAUUAUAAAAAUUUUAUGCUACGAAGAGUCAUUACUUUUAUUAUGAUAAUUAAUAGUGACAAUAAAUAAAAUAUUACAUCAAAUAAUAUUUAAUGGACAAAAUGAGGAAAAAAAAUCAUUGUAUAUUUUUAUAUUUCCAUUAUAAAGAUAUGGUUUGGGAUACUUUAACUUAAAAUUUUGGCACACUAGUUGAGCCACUAAUAUGUCAUAGUCUAAUGGUUGAUAUUGAAAGUCAAAGCAACAUUUCAUAAUAUUAUAUCUUCCACCAUUGAAUUGCAUGAAAUAAAUAGUUUAAUUUUUUGAUAAAAAUUUAAAUCAAAAUAUUUCUCACUCUAUAGUUAUAUAGACAUAUAUAUUUUUCAAUAAUAAUUGGUGAAUAAAAUAUUUCUCAUUUGUUGUGACUCAUAUAGUAUUAUUAAUAAAACACAUAUAAAAUUGUUUAUUGCAAUGCUUUCUAUUAUCAUUAUUAUUUAGGUAUUAAUGGUUUGUAAUUAAAUUCAUACAAUACAAAUUAUUACAAGACUUUGUGUUAAAUAACCUACUUGAUAUUAUAUUUUAUACUUAAUGGUAACUGAUUUUGGAAGAUUUAUUUAAAAGAGAUUAUCAUAUUACAAAUUUAAAGGAGGGCUGAAAAGUAAUUUUAAAUAAAAUAUACUAUUUAAGUGAAAUUAUUUCAAACUCUAAGGGUGGUCACAAUUAUUUUACAAAAAUUAUCCACCUACUUGAACGGUUACCAUUAUUUUUUAGUACAAAUAUUAUAUACCAUUGAUUAGAUCUAAUGGUUCACAAUUAAUAAAUUAUUGAUGCUGUAAAAAAAUUUACAGCAUCAUAGAGGAACCCUGCUUUUCUAUAUUUUUUUCAAUGUCGAACCUGCCGAGCCCACCAACAUGUUCUCAUUUUUUUUUUAUUUGGCAAACCCUUACAUACAUUUAAUGUAUCUUACACCAAACAAUGAAUGGACGCCACACCACUCACUGUGUGAGUGGUUAUAAUAUAUAUUAAGGCCAUGUUUGCUUGGGGGUUGAGAAGUGAGGAGAGGAAAAGAAUUUAAUUUUUUUUAUAUUUUCCAUUGUUUUGUUGGACUAAAUUUAAUGGAAUUGAAUUUUCAUUGAAAUUUAAUUUCCAUCAAUUUGAAGAAUUUGUAUUCCUUAUCAAUGACUAAGGAUUUCAAAUUUCUUAUCUAUUUAAACACAAAAAUUCUAAUAUUAUCCUCUAAACAAAAUCAAUUUUAAAUAAAUGAAAGUAUAAAUAAUUUAUAUUUAUUUUAUUAAAUUAAUAGGAUAAAUUUAUUUGAUAAAAGAAAAAAUAGUAAAGUGACUCACCGGAAAGUCACCGAAGACUCGCUGGAGUUUCGCCGAAGACGCGCUUUUCCAUCAAAACCGGUACCAAUAGAAUCCUCAUGAGCCGAUCUACAACUUUAUGGGAUUAGAAAUGCUAAUAUACAUUGUUAUUUACCUCAAGUCUUGUUUAAAUACUUGGGAAAAUUUUAACUCAACUAUAUAGUGUAUUUUCUUCAAAAUUAACAUUUUCAAUGAGUAAAUCAUCCAUUUUUUUUAUCAUUAUUAUGCAUUUAAUGCGAUGAAAAAUGGUAGUCAACUAUGGUCAACGGCGCCGGUCAAUGACGAUCAACAGAGGUCAAUGCGGCAGCUGUUCAUGCCCAAAUGCUGUAAUUUUUAAAAAAUAAAUUUUUUUAUUUAAUUAAGUAAUUUUUAGAUUAAAUUAAUUCAUAGUUUUAUUAUGUUUUAAUUUAUUAACAAUAUUAACAUUAAAGAUAGUGGGUAUAUUUGUCCAAAUAAGAAAUAUGUAAUUUCUUUUUCUUUCAAAUUUUAUGUGAAACCAAAUAAUAACAAUUAAUUUUUGCACUCUUUUCCUCUUAUCUCAUCUCUAUUCCUCUCAUUUUUUCUCCUUUCGUCUCCUCCCCUUUUUUAAAACAACACCACAUAAAUGUAUGUUAGAGGAAUCUUUUUUAUUUUAUUCAGGCUUUGAUUUCCUUUCAUCGGUGGGGUAGGUACUUUUAAAAAGAAAAUUAUACUUUAAAAAUAUUUUCAACAUUUAUUUUUAAUUAAAUAUUAUAUUAUCAAAUUACUCUUUAUGAAAUUUACCGUUAUAGACAAUCAGAAUUACUAGAUAAAAUUUUAUAAUUGUGUCAAAAAAAAUCAUUUUUUAAUUUUUUUUCAUUUUAAUUUUCUCCUCGACUUCACUGGUAAAUAUUUACUCUAAAAAAGGGUGGCUGUCAAAACAAAAAUAAAUAAAUAAUUGGGCAUUGGUUUGGAUAAGAUGGACAGCAUUUAUUGGGACUCUAUAUCAUUGGGCGGUAGAACUUGGAGGUUGGACCGUUGCGCUUUUAAUAAAUUAAUCUGUAAGCAGUUUUUUUUUUUUUUUUUUUAUUGGCUGAUAUAUUACAAUCAGAGCUCUACUAAUAUAAUCAGACGUCAAUCGGGUACUCUUCUCAAUAAUCAUAUUGUAGCACAGCUCGAAUAUCGACUCAUCGUUUAAAGCUGCAGGGAGAUCUACUAUCACUAUUAAUACCGGAGGGGAAUCAAUUCUACCCCAGUGUGGGGAGAAAAAAAACAACGUCCAAGUUCUCAAUAAUUUUAGUGUGAACAAAAGUUCAGUUCAUGACCAUGAAAUUAAUCGGAGUUGUUCCGAUGGUUACCGCAAGAAUGUUGACGUUUGAAGAAAGAGAGCUUGGGCAAAAUAAAUUAAUUUUAGGGUAACUUUGGGAUUUUGAUGAGCGUGUAUAGUAAAAAAUUAUAUUUUAAAUUUGACAGUGUAGUGAGUAAAUGAGUGUCUAAAAUAUUAUUUAGAGUAUAAAUAAUCUCACCUAAAAAAAUUAUUUACUUUAAUAAAGACACAAUAAUUUACGUGAUUCGACUUAAAAUCUAUAUUUACGAGCAAAAGCUAAAAAUAACUUCAUUAAUAAAUAAAAAUUUACCAAAUUAAGAAAAAAUACUCUCAAAACUCAAAAUCUCAAUAUAUCCAAUUAAACCAUUAGUAGAACACUCAAAGAAAAACUCUAUUCAAUUUCUCAAAUUACUCCCCUUAUAAUUACUUUCAACUUUCACACUUUAGGAUGAUCUUUAAAUGACAAACUGCCCCUCUGUCUAUGCCUCUAUGGGAGUGCGUGGCUCAACUAUUUCUCUCAAUUUUGGUAAUUUGUCAACUUGUUUAGUCCACCGAAUUCGGAACCCAAUCUUGUGCCGCCAUUUCUUAAAAAGCUCUCCAAAUGCAUUAAAGUGCCAAGUAUUUCAAUAACCAACUCUCUACAUUUGUUGGCAAUUUUCAAUGUAUUUAAUUCACUUUUUUUGACUUUUCAACACACAGGAUGUGGAGAAAAAUAAUUAUGUUUUCGUUCUAUUUUUUUCAAUAGUUAGUAUGAUAAUCAGCCAAAUAUAUACAACAUACCAUUCUAUAACUCUGAUACUUUGUAAUAUAUACCAAUCAAGCCCCAAGUCUAAGACUGUCUCAUAAAACUAUUAAAAUUUUUUAACCUAAUACUUCAACGCAUCACUAAAAGGUUUUUUAAAUUAGAUUUAUUACUUAUUAACGAGUCAUAUCGAUCAAUAAAUUUUAAAAGACUUUUUAAGUGAGUUUUUUUUUUAUUGAAGAGAGAGAAAAGUGCUAUCUCAUUUGAAGGGUUUUUUAAAAUCUUAAAUUUAUUCUACUUUUUCUCAUAAUUUCAUGAAGAGAAAGAAGUAUCAUAUUUGCUAUUGUUUUUGUAGAGAAAUUUUUUUAUUAAAAUAAUAUAUUUAUACUUUUAUUUAAAGAAUCUUUUAAUUUUUUUCCACUCUUUCAUUUACAAUAUAUAGUAAAUAAAUAUUUAAAAAAAUUAAAUUUAGAAGAAUAUUUUAGUGAUCUUCUUAGAUCUACUUAGUGUGUGUUUGGUAUAAUUUAUAUAAUGCUCAUAAGUAUUUAUUUAAUCUAAAAAAUUCUUAUCAUAAUUUUUAUUACUAUUUAUUUUUUUUAGAGAUUUUAUAGUUUAAAUAAGUUAUUUUAUUUCUACUAGUAAAAUCUCAAAUUAGGAGUAGAGAUUGAAAUUUUUUUAAAUAUUAAAAUAUCUAAAAUAUUCUCUACUUAUAUUAAACGGAGCCUUACCUCGCGAAUCGCGAUACCAUAACUAUUUUGAAGAAAUCGAAGAAUGGAAAGAAUUGAAAAGGCAAAACCGCGUUGUAAAGGAGGACAUGGAUCAACGUACCGAGGCCACUAAUGACAAAUAGCUACACCUUUUGAAGUAGACUCCCAGCGUCUACCUAACCUAAACGGGUACAGAGACCUUUUGUUUUUUUUUUACAAUAGGUACAGUUACGUAUGACUGAAGAAAUAAAAAAAAAAUGAAAAGCAUAGGGUAGAAGAAAACAAAGCUACCCAUUGGCUUCGUGUUGCAACUCUGCAACAGAAUGUCAAAUCGACAAUGAAAUUUCUUUGUCCAUUUUUCACGUGCAUAGCCAUAAAAAAGAAAAAAAAAUAUCAUAAUUGUAUGUAUAUGCUGGUGGGUCCCUUUUCAAAUUUGACAAGAGGAUUUUAAUUUCUUGUGAAAUUUGUGUUACUUCAAAUCAUUUUAUAGAAAUUAGGGAUGGCAAUGGGGAGGGGAGGGGAGGGGACCAAUCUCCCCGUAUCCAUCUCCGAUAUUUUGCGUAUCUCUGCGUCUUCUCCCCAUCCCCAUCAUAAUUACUUGAGAGAAUCUCAUUCUCCUCCCCGAAUAAUAACAUGGGGAUUCCCGAGGGUCCCCGAUCCCCGAAUAACUAAUACAUAUUUUUUAUUUUUUAUUUUUAGUUAAUUAUAUUAAAAUAAAAAUUCAAACAAAAGUAAAGUUCGAAAUAUAUUUUACAUUAACAUUGAUUCAUUAUAAAAGUCACAUGCAAAAUACAAAUUAUCAAAAUAAUUAUCUUUAUCAAUCUUCAUAAUCCUACAAUAAAAAGAAAAAGAAUUUACUUUUAUAUCAACAAUAAAAUAAAUGAAAUAAAUGUAGAUACUUAAUUAAUAUUUUUAAUAAAACAAAAUUAAAAUUAAAACAAAAUUUUUGGGCUAAUAGAAUCUACCCGACCUUUUUAAUUUCCUAAAUAAAAAUGUAAGACUUUCAUUAGUUAAUUAGGCCUAAAAGUUGAAUAAUAUAAAUAUUUUAAUAUUUGUUACUUUUACCAAUAUUUAUAAUUUUAUAAUAUAAUUCAAAUUUUAUUAUUUAUUUACUAGUAAUUUUAAAAAAUAAAAAUAAAAUUAAAAAUUAAAAUGGGGAAAUGUGGAGGGGAUGGGGAUUCCACCUCAUCCCCGCCCCUUCCCCGAAUAAGAAACUUGGUAAAAAAAUUUCCCCAUCCUUUCCCUGAAUAAGAAAUUGGGUAUAGAAUUAUCCUUGUACCCUCCCCAAAUGAAAAAAAUCCCCUAGAGUACCCGUCCCCGUGGGGAUUUUUACCAUCCCUAAAAUUCCAUUGGCUUCGUGUUGCAACUCUGCAAUAGAAUGUCAAAUCGACAAUGAAAUUUCUUUGUCCAUUUUUCACAUGCACAACCAUAAAAAAGAAAAAAAAAUAUCACAAUUGUAUGUAUAUGCUGGUGGGUCCCGUUUCAAAUUUGACAAGAGGAUUUUAAUUUCUUGUGGAAUUUGUGUUACUUCAAAUCAUUUUAUAGAAAUUAGGGAUGGCAAUGGGGAGGGGAGGGGAGGGGACCAAUCUCCCCGUACCCAUCCCCGAUAUUUUACGUAUGUCCCCGUCCCCUCCCCAUCCCCGUUAUAAUUGCUUGAGAGAAUCUCCAUCCCCUCCCCAAAUAAUAACAGGGGAUCCCCGAGGGUCCCCGAUCCCCGAAUAACUAAUAUAUAUAUAUUAUUUUUUAUUUUGAGUUAAUUAUAUUAAAAUAAAAAAGUCAAACAAAAGUAAAGUUCGAAAUAUAUUUUACAUUAACAUUGAUCCAUUAUAAAAGUCACAUGCAAAAUACAAAUUAUCAAAAUAAUUAUCUUUGUCAAUCAUCAUAAUCCUACAAUAAAAAGAAAAAGAAUUUACUUUUAUAUCGACAAUAAAAUAAAUGAAAUAAAUGUAGAUACUUAAUUAAUAUUUUUAAUAAAACAAAAUUAAAAUCAAAACAAAAUUUUUGGACUAAUAGAAUCUACCCGACCUUUUUAAUGUCCUAAAUAAAAAUUUAAGACUUUAAUUAGUUAAUUAGGCCUAAAAGUUUAAUAAUAUAAAUAUUUUAAUAUUUGUUACUUUACCAAUAUUUAUAAUUUUAUAAUAUAAUUCAAAUUUUAUUAUUUAUUUACUAGUUAUUUUAAAAAAUAAAAAUUAAAUUAAAUUUUAAAAUAAAAAUUAAAAUGGGGAAAUGAGGAGGGGAUGGGGAUUCCACCUCAUCCCCGCCCCUUCCCCGAAUAAGAAAUUGGGUAUAAAAUUAUCCCCGUACCCACCCCGAAUGGGAAAAAUCCCUGAGAGUACCCAUCCCCAAAUGGGAAAUUGGGUAUAGAAUUUAUUCUACUUUUUCUCAUAAUUUCAUGAAUAGAAAGAAGUAUCAUAUUUGCUAUUGUUUUUGUAGAGAAAUUUUUUUGAUUAAAAUAAUAUAUUUAUACUUUUAUUUAAAGAAUCUUUUAAUUUUUUUCCACUCUUUCAUUUACAAUAUAUAAAAGUAAAUAAAUAUUUAAAGAAUUAAAUUUAGAAGAAUAUUUAAGUGAUCCUCUUAGAUUUACUUAGUGUCUGUUUGGUAUAAUUUAUGUAAUGCUCAUAAGUAUUUAUUUAGUCUCAUAAAUUAUUAUCAUAAUUUUUGUUACUGUUUAUUUUUUUUAGAGAUUUUACAGUUUAAAUAAGUUAUUUUAUUUCUACUAGUAAAAUCUCAAAUUAGGAGUAGAGAUUGAAUUUUUUUUUAAAUAUUAAAAUAUCUAAAAUAUUCUCUACUUAUUUGAUAUUCUUUUCAUAACAUAACUUUAAAAACUUACCUAUUAAAAUAAUUUCAUAAAUUUUAAAUAAUUUUUUUUAUUAACAAUCAACAACUAAAAUUUUUUAAAUAAAAAUUUUAUUUAUAAAAAUUUUGUUAUCGAAAACUUUAUUUAAAAAAUUGUAUUAAACAGAGCCUUACCUCGCGAAUCGCGAUACCACAACUAUUUUGAAGAAAUCGAAGAAUGGAAAGAAUUGAAAAGGCAAAACUGUGUUGUAAAAGAGGACGUGGAUCAACGUACCGAGGCCACUAAUGACAAAUAGCUACACCUUUUGAAGUAGACUCCCAGCGUCUACCUAACCUAAACGGGUACAGGGACCUUUUGUUUUUUUUUUACAAUAGCUACAAUUACGUAUGACUGAAGAAAUAAAAAAAAAAUGAAAAGCAUAGGGUAGAAGAAAACAAAGCUACCCAUUGGCUUCGUGUUGCAACUCUGCAACAUAAUGUCAAAUCGACAAUGAAAUUUCUUUGUCAAUUUUUCAUGUGCACAGCCAUAAAAAAGAAAAAGAUAUAGCACAAUUGUAUGUAUAUGCUGGUGGGUCCCUUUUCAAUUUUGUCAAGAGGAUUUUAUUUUUUUGUGAAAUUUGUGUUACUUCAAAUCAUUUUAUAGAAAUUAGGGAUGGCAAUGGGGAGGGAAGGGAAGGGGAGGGGAGGGGAGGGGACCAACCUCUCCGUACAUAUCCCUGAUAUUUUGCGUAUGUCACCGUCCCCUCCCCAUCCUCAUCAUAAUUACUUGAGAGAAUCUCUUUUCUCUUCCCGAAUAAUAACAGGGGAUUCUCGAGGGUCUCCGAUCCCCGUAUAACUAAUAUAUUUUUUUUUAUUUUUAGUUAAUUAUAUUAAAAUAAAAAAUUUAAACAAAAGUAAAGUUCGAAAUAUAUUUUACAUUAACAUUGAUCCAUUAUAAAAGUCACAUGCAAAAUACAAAUUAUCAAAAUAAUUAUCUUUGUCAAUCUUCAUAAUCCUACAAUAAAAAGAAAAAGAAUUUACUUUUAUAUCGACAAUAAAAUAAAUGAAUUAAAUGUAGAUACUUAAUUAAUAUUUUUAAUAAAAUUAAAUUAAAAUUAAACCAAAAUUUUUGGGCUAAUAGAAUCCACCCGACCUUUUUAAUGUCUUAAAUAAAACUUUAAGACUUUAAUUAGUUAAUUAGGCCUAGAAGUUUAAUAAUAUAAAUAUUUUAAUAUUUGUUACUUUUACCAAUACUUAUAAUUUUAUAAUAUAAUUUAAAUUUUAUUAUUUAUUUACUAGUAAUUUUAAAAAAUAAAAUAAAAUUAAAAAUUAAAAUGGGGAAAUGGGGAGGGGAUGGGGAUUCCACCUCAUCCCCGCCCCUUUCCCGAAUAAGAAACUGGGUAAAAAAAAUUUUUCAUCCCUUCCCCGAAUAAGAAAUUGGGUAUAGAAUUAUCCUCGUACUCUCCCCGAAUGGGAAAAAUCCCCGAGAGUACCCAUCCCCGAAUGAGAAAUUGGGUAUAGAAUUUAUUCUACUUUUUCUCAUAAUUUCAUGAAGAGAAAUAAGUAUCAUAUUUGCUAUUGUUUUUGUCGAGAAAUUUUUUUGAUUAAAAUAAUAUAUUUAUACUUUUAUUUAAAGAAUCUUUUAAUUUUUUUUCCACUCUUUCAUUUACAAUAUAUAAAAGUAAAUAAAUAUUUAAAGAAUUAAAUUUAGAAGAAUAUUUUAGUGAUCCUCUUAGAUUUACUUAGUGUCUGUUUGGUAUAAUUUAUGUAAUGCUCAUAAGUAUUUAUUUAAUUUCAUAAAUUCUUAUCAUAAUUUUUGUUACUGUUUAUAUUUUUUAGAGAUUUUACAGUUUAAAUAAGUUAUUUUAUUUCUACUAGUAAAAUCUCAAAUUAGGAGUAGAGAUUGAAUUUUUUUUUAAAUAUUAAAAUAUCUAAAAUAUUCUCUACUUAUUUGACAUUCUUUUCAUAACAUAACUUAAAAAAUUACCUAUUAAAAUAAUUUCAUAAAUUUUUAAUAAAUUUUUUUAUUAACAAUCAACAACUAAAAUUUUUUAAGUAAAAAUUUUAUUUAUAAAAAUUUUGUUAUCGAAAACUUUAUUUAAAUAAAUUUUAUUUAAAAAAUUAUAUUAAACGGAGCCUUACCUCACGAAUCGCGAUACCACAACUAUUUUGAAGAAAUCGAAGAAUGGAAAGAAUUGAAAAGGCAAAACCGCAUUGUAAAAGAGGACGUGGAUCAAUGUACCGAUACCACUAAUGACAAAUAACUAUACAUUUUGAAGUAGACUCCCAGCGUCUACCUAACCUAAACGGGUACAGAGACCUUUUAUUUUUUUAAUUUCGCUAUAUUACGUUUAACAUAACGUACAUUCACACACAACAAAAAUUCCAAUAAUAAAAUUCACAACUGUUACUAUGUGUGACGUACGUUACGUAGCAGCAGCCUUGUUUUUUUUAACAAUAGGUGCAGAUACAUACGAAUGCAUUAAUUAAUGACAAGCAGAGGGUAGAAGAAAACAAAGCUACGUCGGCAGACACGUUGCAGUAGGGAUUCUGGAAUGCAUUAAUUAAGGGGCCUUAAGUAUUCAAUAGUCAAAGAAAUGAGGAGGCAGAGCGUAGAAGAAAACAAAGCCACGUCGCCAGACACGUUGCUGAAGGGAUUAUGGAAUGCAUUAAUUAAGGGGUCUUAAAUAUUAAGUAGUGACAUCCUUUUUGUGUUUUUCCAUAAGAAGAUGCUGGAAUGCAUUAAUUAAGAGGCCCACUGUGAUUAAUUCAUAACUACUAGUAAUUUGUUUGUAUUCGAGUUGCUCCUUUGUAUAACUAGACGUGAAAAUGAGUGAUUGGUGGGGCGGUGGAGUCGAGGGUGCUAAGAGCAACAAAAACAAAUUCUGAAGCAAUUGUUCUGACUCUUGAGUGCUUAUAUUUAUUUCAUUAAUCUCGGAAGAUAUGGCGUCUCAUAAGGUGCCUGGUAAUCGCAAAUUGAUAGGUUCUAAAUCAGAAUACUAUUUUAUGCUUUAUGCAGGUACUGAAGAAGUGAAGAGCUACGACCGGAUUGAUUUUGGUAUGUUUGGUCGGAGUUGGGCUCCCAUUGUUUCUUGGGCCGUGAUAGUUGUUCCCCACGAGCCGGAGAGUAAUUGGAGAAAAAAUUUACCUCCUCCAAGUGUCAAUAAUAUGGACCCCGCUAGCUCGCUUUGUGUUAUUGCAUCUGGUUCUUCUAAUGGUUAUAAGCCUAUAGGUGAUGAUAAAAAGGAUCGUCCUUUUCAUGGCGUUAGAACUACAGUUCCAUUGAACAAAUUGAAAUAUGAUCGUGAAGUGUUGCGCGGAGGUUCUCUUGUUUUGGAGAUUAAUCUUUUAGAGGUUUUUCACGGAGGAGAUGUUGUGGAUUCUGAUCAUACUUUUGAUGGUCAAGUGUUUUGGAACUUGUACUCGAAUUGAAUAUUGUACGGUGAGAUAAGUUGAUGUGUGUAUUAAUGGUAUUAUCUAAUAUAAACAUAGGAUUGGACAUAUAGUUGUGUCAAUGUAUUGUGUAAUUUAACUACCUCUAGAUAAUAUUAUCGUUUGUGUAAUGAUUGUAAUUGAUGUUUUGUUGGAGGAUCCUUUAGUAUGCUUAUAAAAAGGAUUCAAGUGUGUUGUAACGAGCAGAGCUCUUCUAAGUCUAGUCCAUAAAUAAAUAAAAGAGUUGACUAUAAUGUAAUAUUGUGGGGUCUUCUACUGUGUCUAUAAAAGGAUCCAAGUGUGUUGUAAUAUGAGUAGAGAUUCAUGAAUUUAGUCUAUAAAUAAAUUAAACAAGUGUUUUAUAUAGUCCUUUUAUGAACAUGUAUGGUCUCAUUUCCUUCAUAAAGCAAUGUAUAGCCGUUGUGACAAAAUCUUAUUACUCAAGUUUACUCAUGAAUCCUUUACACAAAUGUUACAAAUGUAUAAUAACAAAAUUGAAAAGUCAUUUUCACACGUUACAAAUAUAUACUAACAAAAUUGAAAUAACAUUAUUACAAAUUAGAACAAUAUGUAAUAACAAAAAAUAAAUAAAUAAACUCGAGGCUUGUAAAGUUAAUAGUUUAUUUAAAACAAAUUAGAACAAUAUGUUUUAUAUAUUACUGGUGAAGAUGAAGAAGAGAUUCGAAUAACAAGAAAUAACUUAUUAGUUCGCUUCCAGAUGAAAAAGCUUGGUCAGCUUAAGCACUUCCUUGGUCUAGAAGUUAUCGAAUAGAAGAAGGGAUAUUUCUUUACCAACAAAAUUAUGCCAAAGACUUGCUGAAGAAGUUUGAAAUGAUGGAAUGAAAACUAAUCUCAACUCCAUUGGAAGUAAAUGCAAAAUUGUGCACACACGAAGGUAGAGAUUUACAAUAUAGAACAAUGUAUCAACAAUUGGUAGGUAGUUUAAUCUACCUUAUGCUGAAUCAACCGAAUAUUUCAUAUGUCGUAGGUGUCAUGAGUUGGUAAAUGCAAAAUCCAAAGAAGCUUCACUUGGAAGUAGUUAUGUGAAUACUAAGAUAUGUGAAGAGUACAAACAAUUAUGGUUCAUUGUGCAAGAAAGAUGAAAUUACAAGCUGACUAGCUAUUGUGACGCUGACUACGCCGGAGAUCAUGAUACAAAAAGAUUAACUACUAGGUAUGUUUUCAGAAUUAGGUCUGGAGUAGUUUUUUAGUGUAGUAAGAGACAACCAACUGUAUCACUAUCAACCACAGAGGUAGAGUAUAAAACAACAAUGAUGACAUCUCAAAAAAGCACUUGGUUGAUGUAGUUGAUCAAGGAUCUACACCAACUAGUAGAUUAUGUAUGCAAUACCACUGUAUUGCGAUAAUCAAUCGAUAAUCAACUUGGGAGAAAAUCUAGUUUUCCAUGCAAGAACUAAGCAUGUAGAGGUCCAUUAUCACUUCAUCAGGGAAAAUGUCUUACAAGAUAAAGUUGAGAUGCGGUACGUCAAGACAAACAAUUAAGUUACGGAUUUUUUUUUUUAUAAAAAGUCUUUGUACCAUGAAGUUUAAAAAGUUUCGUCAGCAGCUCAAUAUGGAUCGAAUGAUGAAACUUGGUUUUGAGGGGGAGUGUUAAAAGUGCAACACCAAUUUUAUGAUCCAAUUAAAUAACAUUUGUCCAAAUCCAAGUUCAUAACUCAAUCCAUAGAAGACUUAAGAAUUGUGUAGAGAACAUGGGACAUUUCUAAUCUAAAAAUAUUUAAUGAUGAUGAAAAUAUCUUAUUUUAGAAAUCUCUUGAACGGUGAUAUUUAUAAAAUGUGAUUGUUAAAUUUUUAUAAUUUAAUGUUUUGUGUGGUUUGUAUUAGUUUUAGGAUACUAUAAAUACCGCUAAACUCUUUGUUGUAGGCAUCAAGAGAGGAGUGAAGAAUUAGUAGGAAGAAAGAAGAGUGAGCCGUGAGUAUCGUAGUGUUUUUCUUAUAAAAUAUCAAUAAAAUCCUUUAAUUUAGUAAAAUUCUUCUAUUUCUUAAAUAUUUUCAGUCUUAAGCAGCUUCGUCCUUCUUUCUCAACAAAAGCAUUCCAUUUAGUAUAUGAAAAGAAAGUUGUGAGUUUGUGAAGAGAGAAUAAUUAGAAUAUCUUUUGCAAUUGUUAUUUUCCCAAUUUUAAGUAACAGAGUUGCUUUCUCCUAGUAUAAGAGAGAUUGUAAUUGUUCUAUCCUUGUAUUCAAAGAAAAUUGUUAUAAUCCUCAUUUGAAUAGUGAAUUCUUUCUACUUUUGUUGUGGAUUUUUAACCCGGUUUAUUUGGAAUUUUUUCCACUUAAAAUUUGUGUGUCCCAUAUAUCUUCAUUUGUUCUUAAUAUCACUUUGGUUUCGGUCUGAUACGGUCCUUAAUUUCCUAAUAGAAAACAACCGAAACCAUCCAAUAACGAGAGUGAUCUCUGAAAGCUCCAUUGCAGAACAUGGAUAACCGCUGCUUCGGCCAUCUGUAUUAACUUUUACCCAGCCAUGCACUAUCGGGCAAAUUUUAGCAAAAUAUUGAAAAUGAGAGGUAUAACCAACUUGUAUUAGAUGAAAGGAGGAUGGGGUGUUUUCAUAUCGUAGCUCUGUCACGGCAUCGAUGUGAAGAAGAUGAGUUGGUCAUGUCUAAUUAACAAAAAAAAAAAAAAUCCUUUCUGCUAAUCCCAAUUUCAAAGCUUUCUUGUGUCGGACUUUAAUUCUAACUUUGUAAUAUCACACUUUCAAUGGUUAUUUUACCUUUAUAUUCACUAUUGACUUAUAGGGGUGAAAUGAAUAAUUAAAACUCUAUUAUGGAUAUAAAUAACAAAAAAGAAAUUUAUGUGUCGCGGAACUGGUACUCAUAUGAAAAUAACAUUUGACAAUAUCGAACCAUUGGAGCACUAAAUAAAUUAUAGCAUUAUAUAAAAGGGGAUUUGAAUACAUGCUCAUGUUAUGCCCUACGGACUUUCUUUUGUAUUUGUUGGCAAAAAUUUGCAGAUCGUAGAUAUUUGCCCCUAAGGUAACAAAACUGCAAAAGCAUUUCGUGGGUAACAAGUAGUCGGGCUUUUAUCUAGAAUAUCUUUAUUCUUCCAUACCAAUAAAUCACUUAGAUUUUAUGGGCUACGGAUGGAAAUUGUUAAAUUCAUUAUUUAUAGAGUUUGUAUUUUAUGGCAAGUCUAGUUAAAUUAGAAUUUUAUUUAUUGUAUAUUUUGUAAUAGUGAUUAAUUUAUUAAUUCCCUAAUUUAGUGAGAUUUCAAUUUAUUAAGAAUAUUUAUUUCCUAAUUUAAUUAGAUGGCUAACUUAAAAAGUCAAUUAAUGAUGUGAUUCUAUAAUUGGCGCAUGAGCUCUAUUUUGAGUAUGAAGUCAGUUCAAACAUGAAGUUUAUUAAAUGAUUUAGAUAUUUCUUGGAAGACAAGCAAUGUAAGAAAAUUAGAUUUAUUCCUAUUCAGAUUCAUAGGAAUUAUAAAAGAAAAUAAACUCUUAUUUGGAAAGAAUCAAAAUCUUUUAAGAGUUAUUAUUUUUGUGAAAUCCUAGUGCCUAUAUAAAGAGAGGUAUUUCACAAUUGAAGGUGUGCAACACGGAGCAUAAAGCAGGGACGCAAAAUUCGGCAUUCUCCCUAAAGAAUCCUAAUUUGGCACAUAAUAUUGUGUUGAUUUAUUUACUUAUCUUCUUUUCAUAUUUGUGUAGAGUCUAUGUGAAUUUUGGAUCACUAGACAUUAAAAAAUUAAAUAAUUGUUAUUGAUCACUUUGCGAAGUGCGUUAAGUAUCGUGGAUCAAGAGGGGUAGUAAUUAUUUAAGAAAAGCAAAUUCAGUCUGUACAAUGAUAAACUGUAAAUGAGAGUUUUAAGUUUGAUAAAUCUAUGGUUGUAACAUCUCAACUUAGUGAAUUACUUUUCAUCUGAGCUUGACCUCGUGGAUGUAGAAUUAAUUAAUCUGAAUCACGUAAAAAUCUCCGUACCAUUUAAUUUCUGUAAUUUAUUGUAUUUUUGAAAAAUUAAUAUUUUGAUGCGGAUAAACAAUAACCGUAAACAUUAACUAUAAACAAUAAGCGUAAACAAUAAUGAUGAAUAGUAAUGGUAAACAAUAUUUCCGAAAGUUAAUUAAGUUGUUAAUUUUAAAUUUUUAAUUACCUACAUCUAAAUUGCCUACAUUUAGUGCAAUUUUGAAAGGUAUUAAAUUGGCAGCGGACUUGGGGUUUCUUCCGCUACUGAUAGAGUCCGAUUCAGUUAAUGUCAUUAGUCUCAUCUCAGGAAAAAUUAACAGCCAAUUAGAGAUUGAUUGGCUAAUAUCUGAUAUUAAAAGUUUUAUUUGUAAGAAAAGUGUUUGCUAUAAGACACAUUCCCAGAUCCGGUAAUUCAGCAGCUCACAAAGCUGCAAAAAUGGCUCUUGAUCAUGCUGAGUCGCGCACAUGGUUACAGGAUGCGCCUCCUGACAUUGUACCUCUCUUGUAAUGUUAUGGUGUAAUCAAUGAAAAUUUUAUUGUAAAAAAAAAAAUCCUUUCAGAAAUUAAUAUAUACUAUUUUAAUGUGGAAAAUCCCUUCAGAAUUAGUUCGAUAAAUACAAUAUUCAUCCAGUUACCGCAGGCUAAUAAUGCUCAUCCUGGAUAACUCAUGUCGCUUUUUACAUAUGCUGUAAUCUAAUUGGUGUGAUUAUCUUUGUAGCCCUACCUUCUCACUUGGCCAGAAUCGAGGUUAUAUAUGGUCAUGCAAUUAUACAUGAAAAAAGAAUAUCUUUCCAGUAGUUCAUUUUCCCUUUCACAUAGAGCGUACUGAGGAUAUAUAUAUCGGAAACCUGAGAAAACUAAUGAGAUAUUUGAAGGUUAAAGGGGAAGCCGGCUCCGUUAUUAAAAGCAAACUUCUUUAUUUAUUUAUAGACUAGAGUCAAGGAGCUUCACCCGUUACACACUUGAAUCCUUUUUCUAGGCACCAUAAAGGAUCCCAACAAUUAUACAUUACAAGUCAUUACCUUUAUUUAUAGACCAGACACAAGGCGCUCUGCCCAUACAACAUACUUGGAACAUUUUUAAAGGCACACUAAAAGACCAUCCACAACAAAACAUUGAUUCGAUCAUUACACUGGAGGUCGCCUUUUCAUCGGAAAUUGAGAUUUACCUUACCAAGAGGUAAUAUCAACGUUACACAAAACAUGACAUAUAACAAUGUCUAAUCUUAUAUCUAGAUUAGAUUACACAGUACACACCAGCUUAAUUAUCUUACAGUAGUAUUCAAUUGGAAUACAAAUGCCAAUACACUUUACCAUCAAAAGUAUGAUCAGAAUCCAGAACAUUUCCAUGAGGUACCUCUAUAAGAUUAAUCUGCAAAACAAGAGAACCUCCUUCCUGCACAUGACGAUCUUUAUACAGUUCAUCUAAUUGAACCAUAGUUCUAAGGCCAUGAAUAGGACGAUUUUUAUCAAUAGGCCUAUAACCAUUAGUAUAACCAGAUGCAACAACAUCAAAAGAUACUUCAGCAUCCAUAUUAUUGGCGGCUGCAGGAGGCAGAUCUCCUCUCCAAGCAUCCUCGUUAGCUCUGGGAACAAAUAGGACGGCCCAGGAAACAAUAGGAGCCCAACUUCGACCAAACAAACCAAAAUCCAUCCUAUUCAAGUCCUUCAAAACACCAGGAUCUGCAUAACGCAGAAAAAAGUAGUCUGAUUUAAAACCUAUCAAUUUUCGCUGAUCACACGCCAUAUCUUCCGUGAUUAAUGAAAAAUAAGCGCUCAGAAUCAGAUCACUUGCCUCAGAAAUUAUUUUCGUUGCUCUGUCACUCUUUUUUCUGCUGCCGUCCAAAGACAUUUUCACGUCUAUUUAUGCAAGGGAGGAAUUCGAACACAAACAAAUCACAAAUAAUUAUUAAUUAAUUAUAAUAGGACUCUUAAUUAAUGCAUUCCAGCAUCUCCUUCUGCAACGUGUCUGGCGACGUGGUUUUGUCUUCGUCUGUGCUCCGCCUUUCAUUUCUUGGAUAUCUUCAUCAUAGGUAUUAGAGCCAAGUUAAGGUUAGGUAGAUGAUACAAGUCCUCUUCAAAAGGAUUUUGCUAGUAUUAGAGCCUAGUAAUGUAAGAUAUAAUCUCUCGUAAAAUUGUGGGCCUAAGUGGAACCUAUAACUAAAUUUGUAUGAGACUGUACCUUACAUUACACGCUUCCUUUAACAAUUGACACAUGUUAAUUAAUGCAUUCCAGCAUCUCCUUCUGCAACGUGUCUGGCGACGUGGUUUUGUCUUCGUCUGUGCUCCGCCUUUCAUUUCUUGGAUAUCUUCAUCAUAGGUGUUAGAGCCAAGUUAAGGUUAGGUAGAUGAUACAAGUCCUCUUCAAAAUAGCUCUCUGUCACAAGUGGUUCCGGUACGUAGAUCCACGUCUUCUUUUGCAGCGUGGUUUGGCCUUUUCAGUUCUUCUCAUUCUUUGAUUUCUUCGAAUAGUUAUCUACAUCGUGUUUACAGGUUGGGUAAGACUAAGGAUUGGGUUCGCACAGUUCUAAUAUUUUGAUUGGACCAUCCUGCAUCUAUCUCUUAUUUAGUUUAGCAUGACUUAUUUAACAUCAUAAAUAUUUAUUUAAUUUUAUAAUUUUUUAAAUAUUAAAUAAAUUAUUUUUUUAUUAGUAAAAUUUUAAAUUUUGAGUUUUUGAAAAUAGAUUGAAAAAUAUUUUUAAACUAUUAAAAUAUUAUUUAUUUAUUUAAUUAUUUUAUUUCAUUUACUUUAUAACAUAAAUUUAAAAAAAUUACCUAUUAAAAAAAUUUAUAAUUUCUUAAUAAAAACUCUUAUUGAUAGUCAAAUACCUUAAAGUUUUAGUAAAAGUUUGCUUGUAAAAGAUUUAUUAACAAAAGUUAUGCCGAAAUAAGUUUUAUUUGAAAAAUUAUAUCAAGGCUUGAUUUGGUAUCAAAAGAAAAUUAUCAUACACUUAUAUUUUUAUAUUAUCAUUUAAAACUGAAGAGAAGAGUAAAGAAAGAUCAAACCAGAGUGAAGAAGGGUUAACAUAAAAUGAAAGAAAAGCCUCGGGCAUUAUACUAUGAUUUGGGAGAAUGAUGCGUUAUUUAGUUUUGGUGGGUGUAAAAGGAAAACGAAGCUUAAUAAUAUGAGCUUAAAACUCAAUUAAAAUGAGUUUAAUGAAGGGUGGUUUUAGCAUUUUAAAGUGCGAUCAUAGUUAAUUUUAAUUUUUGUAAUUUAUUGAAUAAACUAUUUGCAAUGAAUUAAGAAAAGUAAUCAAUAAUUAUAACAAUAAAAGUAAUUAUUAUUGAAACGACCCACCUCGAACUUCAAGAGCAAAUCUAUCUAAUUUCUUUUAACGUGAUUAGUAAAACGUAUUUGCUAAAAUUUUCCAACAUGCAAAUCUGCAAAACAAACACUUUCAAAAUAAUUCAAUACACAACAAAAUUCAUUGAUCAACCUUCUCAACCAUGAUAUUGAAUAUCACCUAAACACUUAUAAAGUAUCAAAAGAUUAUAUUAUAGCUAAUGUCAACAUAUAUUAAACAUUCAUAAGCAUCAAAUCAUAAUACAAUUAUACAAUCCAAAAUGAGAUGAUCUAAAUGCCCUAAUAAUAUCAUUUAUAUCUUUUAGCACCAUCACGUGGCCAAAAUUCAAAAAUACUACAGUCGUUGGGUCGAUUAAUGUAUCCACAACCUUCUGUGGGGGAAAAGUAUAGUAAAAUGGGAUGAAUAUAAAACUCAAUGAGUGAAUAAUAACUUUUGAAAAUAAUAUAUUUUAAAAUAUUUAUAUAUUUUCAAUAUACUAUUUUCAUCAAACUAUAAGUAAGAACAUAGAUGAAUUAUUCGAACUUUAAAUCAAACAACUGUCGUUUUAAUUUUAAAGUGUGAUCGUAGUAAAUUUUUAUUUUGUUAAUUUAUUGAAUAAACUAUGUACAAUCAAUUAAGAAAAAUAAUCAAUAACUAUAACAAUGAAAGUAUUGAUUACUGCAACGACCCACCUCAAACUUUGAGGGCAAGUCUAUCUAAUUUCUUCUAACGUGAUUAGUAAAACUUAUUAAUGAGGAUUUUGCUAAAAGUUCAUCGACAGAGUCUCCCCCUAUAUUUAUAAAAUUUCUAACAUGCAAAUCUAAACACUCCCAAAAUAAUUCAAUACACAACUUGAAAUACUAACUAGGCAACCCAAGAGGGGGGGUGAAUUGAGAUUUUAUAAAUUAAGUUAAGCAAACACACAACAAUUCAAUCUAAUGCCUCAAUAAAUUCGAAAACAAUAAAUUCAAUGAAAGCACAAUAAUAAAUGAGCAAGGGAAGAGAAAGCAAACUCAAUGAUUUUUACGUGGUUCGGCAAUCCCCGCCUACGUCCACGCCUCUUAGCAUUUUCAUUUUUGAGCUCUACCAUUUUCUUUUUAAGACAUGCAUUCUUUUUACCAAUUUUCAUACACUCAUCAUGCAAUUCUUUAAAAGUAUCAUGUAAUUCAUCAUAAGUAGGAAGAUCAUUUACCUAAUCAAGUUCAUCAUUCGAUUCAUCUCCAAUUGCCAUAAGAGCUAGAUUUGUCAUUUCUUGAUGCUCUUCAUCAUCACUUGUUUCCUCCUCGCUAUCAUCCCAUGUGGCUACCAUCGCUUUCUUCUUGAGCUUGUUGAGAAGAGGGCAUUCCGAUCUUAUAUGGCCAGGUUUCUUGCACUCAUAACAUUUGAUUACUUCAUUCUUCUCCUUUUGGUUCUUGAGGUCUCUAAAUUUUCUUCGCUCACUGGAUUUCUUAAAAAAAUUUCUAAACUUCCUAGCCAGCAUAUCCAUCUCCUCCUCAUCCAGCUCGCUUUCCUCAUCACUCUCAUAUUUCGAGGCUUUGAGAGCAAUACUUUUCUUCUUCUCCUCAUUGCCUUUUUCGGCUGCCAAGUCUUCCUCAUAAGAAAUAAGAGAACCAACUAAAUCAUCAAUAGGUAAGAUAUUUAAAUCUUUGGCUUCCUCAAUGGCAGUCCUUUUUUGUCUCCAUUCCUUACAUAGCGACCUAAUAAUUUUCUUAACUUUCUCGCUAUUUGAAAAAGUCUUUCCUAUGGCUCCUAGAGUGUUCACUAUGUCCGUAAAUCUAGUAUACAUAUAAUACACACUCUCAUUUUGUUCCAUUUGGAACAAUUCAUAUUGUCGAGUGUACCUACUAAUUUUAGACUCUUUCACUUGAUUCGUGCCUUCAUAAACAACUUCAAGUUUGUGCCAAAUUUCAUUAGCACUCUCACAACUAGAUACUCUAUGAAAUUCUUUCUUAUCUAGUGCACAAAACAAGGCAUUCAUAGCUUUGGAAUUUAGAGUAGCUUUUCUCUUUUCUAAUUCAUUCCAUUCCCGUGAAGGUUUUGGAAUAUCUUCCCCGACUUCAUUUUUAGUCAAAGGCAUAAAAAGACCAUCACAAACAACUUCCCAAAUUUCAUAAUCAAGUGCUUGUAAAUAAAUUCUCAUCAUAGUUUUCCAAUACGGGUAGUCAUUUCCGUCAAAGAACGGUGGUUUAAUUGUGGACUGUCAUUCUCUAAAGGUUGAGUCAUUAUGGGUUGCCAUAGAUCUUUAACUCUAGACGGUUAAGUCUAAACAAGAGCACCUCGCUCUGAUACCAAAUGAAAUACUAACUAGGCAACCCAAGAGGGGGGUGAAUUGGGAUUUUAUAAAUUAAGCUAAAAAAACACACAACAAUCCAAUCUAAUGCCUUAAUAAAUUCGAAAACAAUAAAUUCAAUGAAAGCACAAUAAUAAAUGAGUAAGGGAAGAGAAAGCAAACUCAAUGAUUUUUACGUGGUUCGGCAAUCCCCGCCUACGUCCACGCCUCCAAGCACACCGGGUUUGAGGAUUUCACUAUUCGAGCCUUUCCAAUGCUUCAAUCGUUUACAAUUGACUUCAAGGUGUCAAUGAACCUUUAAAACAAGAGAUUAUCUCUCCAAUCUCUUCACCCCAAGUGUUUCUCACACUUGUACACUCACAAUUUGAUGAGAAAUAAAAAUUACAACAAUGAAACUCUCUUUAAGAGUGGAUAUACAAAUUGAAGAACAAAGAUGAUUUAAUAAAUGAUGAUUUACGAAAUUGAAGCUCAAUAUAUGUUGUGUGCACUUGUUUUUGCUUGCCAAGAUUACCAAAAAUGAAUUGGUUUUGAGUUUAUAUAGUUUGAGCUCAAAAACUAGUCGUUAUGCACUUUUUGGUCAUAACCGGCUUAUUGUUUAUGGAAUCCGGUUAGCCGCUUGUAUGUUACCGUUACAGCCAAAAUUUAAAUUUUUGAACAUCCAGUAUGCCGCUUAUAAAAUCCGGAUAGCCGUUUAUGCUCUAGAAGCUUACUGCCCAACAACCAUAUUACCGUUUGUCAGGAUCCGGUUAGCCGCUUUCAAUUCGGAUAGAUUCUGCCCAACAUCCGGCUUAUCGGUUUUUCACAUCCGGUUAGCCGCUUGCUACAGUGACUGCUACAGUGAACUAUUUUAUAAAAUUAUAGUUUAACCCCAAAACUUUCCAUAACUGUACUAGGGCCCAACACGUUAUAAAUUUGGCAAAUAGGUCCAAUUUCAGAAUCUCUAAAUAAUAUUUACUAUUCUCAAAACUUUUUAAAAUUAUGAUAUGGCCCAAAAUAAUAUGAAACUGUUCAAAUAAGUCCUUUUCUAAAAUUUCAAGUAAUACUUGUUGAUUUCAAAGUUUUUAAAAUUCUUUCAAUUAAACCAUAAACUUGAAAAGCAACCAAUUUCAUAAAAUCAUUUUUCUAUUAAAUAUGAAACCUUUAUAAUGAGAAAAUAAUGAUUUAUUUAAAAAGUAUAAAAAAUAAUUUGAACUUAAAAGAUUAAUCAUUCUUAAUCUUGUUUGUUAUCAUCAAAAUCAACAUUAUGGAAACAUAUAUGUUAACAAUCUCCUCAUUUUUUAUGAUGACAAACAUUUCAUGUAUUUAAAGAAUGAUUCCGCAAAUUGCUCCCCUAAAUAUAAUCUUCUCUUACAAUUUGCCAAUUAGCUAAAUUAACAGAUUUAAAUAUAUGGAUUUUUCUCCCCCUUUAUCAUUAAAAAGAAAACUUAAUUGGCAAAGAAAAAGAGUAGUAAAUUUUUAUAAAUUUAAAAAUAUGUAUUAUUCUCCCCCUUCAUCAUCAAAAAGAAAACUUAAAGGAAAAGAAUAAGAGUAGCAAAUUUAUUACUCAUGUUUGUCCAAGUAGAAAUUUCAACACAUUCUCCCCCUAACAACAAGCAUUACCUUAAAUAUAAGUUUAGUAAUAUUACUCCCAAAUUAUUAUAAAUCAUGAUACAAGCCAACUCCAUACACAAAUCAUCACACCAAAAUAUCAUGAACCAUUAUUCCAUUAAUUACCAUAUAAAACAACUAUGUAAUUAAUCAUCAUUAUCUCAAAAUCAUUAUCAUAAUCAAAUAUCAAUCAUUAAAAGAAUACUCAAAGUGUAUAUUAUUCUCCUCAUUUUAACAACAUCGAAAUGAUAUAUUACUUUGUCUCCCCCUUUGGACAAUAAAAAAGUUCAAAAUGCAUAUUAUUCAAAAUCAUAUUAUAUGAUCCCCCUAAAUAUAUGACCAAUUUAAAAUUUUAACCAAAAUAAUUUUAUCCCAAAACAUAUCAUAUUUGUCUCCCCCUAUCAAUCAUCAAAACCUCAAAUCAAGCACAUUAGUUCAAAAUUAUCCAAAACAUAAGUAAAGAACAUAACAUAUAACUAUAUCAAAUCCAUAUAAUUCAAAACAGACACAUAAUCCAAAAUCAUAGCAAACAUCCAUAUAAUCCAAAUGCAAAAUAAAAGAAAAAUAAAAUAGUAAAUGUUGGUGUGUUCAAAUACAAGUAUAAAGGAUUUGAAGUGAAAAAUGAUGAGAUUGAUGGAUUUUAGAGAGAUCUUGCGUGAGAGAGGAAGCGAUUUUUAGUGAGAGAGUAACCGAUUGACUGAAUGAAGGAGAAGAGGAUGAACAAAAUUUGAAUGCCCGAAUUUGGCUUACCGGAUUUCACUAACCGGUUAGCCAGUUGGGGUCCAGUGAGUGUACAACCUGAAUUCGGGUUUCCGGUUUACAUAACCGGUAAUUCGGUUAACUCCUGUGAUGAAUGGUCACGAAUCCGGUUAUCCGGAUAUUCCUAACAUGUUAAUCGGUUGGAGGCAGCAAGUAAGCAACGCGAAUCCGGUUUGCCGGAUCUCAUAACCAGCUAUCCGAUUGUGUCCAACAAGCAUCAAACUAAAUCCGAUUUUCCGGAUUUCAUAACCGGUUGACCGAUUCUUUCCAGAAACCAAAUUCUCUUCAAACGAGUUAUUGGUUUUCCAAUCCGGUUAUCCGAAAUAUGACUUAGAGAAUAAUCAAUAAAAAGGAUGGUUUUCCGGUUGAUUAAAAGAGGUUUAUCGGUUAAAAUAUAGAGAAUAUUUUUGAAGUUUAGUAAACUCUUAGACUUGUAUUACACACACCAAUUUAUUUUUAGCUUAAAAAUUGAUCAAUUUUUGAAUCAUUUUGAGAUUCAAAAUUUUUCAAUAAGUCAUUUAAUGCAUGAGACAUAAAUGUAUACAAGACCAAACAUAUGAAAUCGUAUCAAACAAUGAUGUCAAUUUUAUAAAUGAAUGAUGAUAUAAACACAAUUAAUGGCAUAUGAAUUCACACAUAUAUAAGAGAUGGACAAUGAUGAUAGACAAUUAAGAAGAUGAAAUCAAAGACCAUACAAUCAUCAAAAUCAAACAAAGACAUCAUGAUAAAUCACUCAAUGUUAUACACAAUGAUAAUUCCAUCAUGUAAACAUACAAGCAUACUUUCGCAAAUUCAUUUAACAUGAUUCAUUCAACAAAAUUAAUAUGGCAAGAAUUGUUACCAAAACAAUUAAAUCAUCUUGCCUCAUCUUUUUCUCCUAGAUCAUACUCAAGUGAUUAUCCUCACAAGCUUUCAUCAAGGAACUUCUCCACCAUUCCUUGAUUGUGGUACCUACAAAGAAAACAUUCACGUUGUGCCCUUUGGUACCCAAAUACUCUUGGGUCCUUGAGUGUUAGCAAUGGUUCCUUUUGGAACCCAAACACAUUUUACUCCAUAAUAUACUUUUCUUUUAAUAGGACAACCAAGCUUCAUGUGACCGUUUUGAUUACAAUAAUGACAUACAACUUGAUUGUUAAUAGAUGUACUCUUCACAAAGUAGUUCUUAUAAUACUUUUGUUUCAAAUUUGGCUUAUAACCAAGUUCUCCUUUAUCAAACACACAUUUUUGUGAAUUAAUCAAGUUAUCCAACAUCUUUUGUCCAUUUGUAAAUUUUAAAACAAUCUCAUUUAACUCAUUGCUCUUCUUCUUAAGCAUUUCAUUUUCCUUUUUCAAGUCAUCUAUGUGAUAUUCUAUAUGCUCAUGUGAAGUGCUAGGUUUCCCAUUUGAUAAUGCAACUCUAUCAUGCAAUGUUUUAUUCUCUAAUUCUAGGCAUGUAAUCUUUGCACAUAGAGAUUCAUUUUCAUUUUUGAGCUCUACCAUUUUCUUUUUAAGACAUGCAUUCUUUUUACCAAUUUUCAUCCACUCAUCAUGCAAUUCUUUAAAAGCAUCAUGUAAUUCAUCAUAAGUAGGAAAAUCAUUUACCUCAUCAAGUUCAUCAUCCGAUUCAUCUCCAAUUGCCAUAAGAGCUAGAUUUGUCAUUUCUUGAUGCUCUUCAUCAUCACUUGUUUCCUCCUCGCUAUCAUCCCAUGUGGCUACCAUCGCUUUCUUCUUGAGCUUGUUGAGAAGAGGGCAUUCCGAUCUUAUAUGGCCAGGUUUCUUGCACUCAUAACAUUUGAUUACUUCAUUCUUCUCCUUUUGGUUCUUGAGGUCUCUAAAUUUUCUUCGCUCACUAGAUUUCUUAAAAAAAUUUCUAAACUUCCUAUCCAGCAUAUCCAUCUCCUCCUCAUCCAGCUCGCUUUCCUCAUCACUCUCAUAUUUCGAGGCUUUGAGAGCAAUACUUUUCUUCUUCUCCUCAUUGCCUUUUUCGGCUGCCAAGUCUUCCUCAUAAGAAAUAAGAGAACCAACUAAAUCAUCAAUAGGUAAGAUAUUUAAAUCUUUGGCUUCCUCAAUGGCAGUCCUUUUUUGUCUCCAUUCCUUACAUAGCGACCUAAUAAUUUUCUUAACUUUCUCGCUAUUUGAAAAAGUCUUUCCUAUGGCUCCUAGAGUGUUCACUAUGUCCGUAAAUCUAGUAUACAUAUAAUACACACUCUCAUUUUGUUCCAUUUGGAACAAUUCAUAUUGUCGAGUGUACCUACUAAUUUUAGACUCUUUCACUUGAUUCGUGCCUUCAUAAACAACUUCAAGUUUGUGCCAAAUUUCAUUAGCACUCUCACAACUAGAUACUCUAUGAAAUUCUUUCUUAUCUAGUGCACAAAACAAGGCAUUCAUAGCUUUGGAAUUUAGAGUAGCUUUUCUCUUUUCUAAUUCAUUCCAUUCCCGUGAAGGUUUUGGAAUAUCUUCCCCGACUUCAUUUUUAGUCAAAGGCAUAAAAAGACCAUCACAAACAACUUCCCAAAUUUCAUAAUCAAGUGCUUGUAAAUAAAUUCUCAUCAUAGUUUUCCAAUACGGGUAGUCAUUUCCGUCAAAGAACGGUGGUUUAAUUGUGGACUGUCAUUCUCUAAAGGUUGAGUCAUUAUGGGUUGCCAUAGAUCUUUAACUCUAGACGGUUAAGUCUAAACAAGAGCACCUCGCUCUGAUACCAAAUGAAAUACUAACUAGGCAACCCAAGAGGGGGGUGAAUUGGGAUUUUAUAAAUUAAGCUAAAAAAACACACAACAAUCCAAUCUAAUGCCUUAAUAAAUUCGAAAACAAUAAAUUCAAUGAAAGCACAAUAAUAAAUGAGUAAGGGAAGAGAAAGCAAACUCAAUGAUUUUUACGUGGUUCGGCAAUCCCCGCCUACGUCCACGCCUCCAAGCACACCGGGUUUGAGGAUUUCACUAUUCGAGCCUUUCCAAUGCUUCAAUCGUUUACAAUUGACUUCAAGGUGUCAAUGAACCUUUAAAACAAGAGAUUAUCUCUCCAAUUUCUUCACCCCAAGUGUUUCUCACACUUGUACACUCACAAUUUGAUGAGAAAUAAAAAUUACAACAAUGAAACUCUCUUUAAGAGUGGAUAUACAAAUUGAAGAACAAAGAUGAUUUAAUAAAUGAUGAUUUACGAAAUUGAAGCUCAAUAUAUGUUGUGUGCACUUGUUUUUGCUUGCCAAGAUUACCAAAAAUGAAUUGGUUUUGAGUUUAUAUAGUUUGAGCUCAAAAACUAGUCGUUAUGCACUUUUUGGUCAUAACCGGCUUACUGUUUAUGAAAUCCGGUUAGCCGCUUGUAUGUUACUGUUACAACCAAAAUUUGAAUUUUUGAACAUCCGGUAUGCCGCUUAUGAAAUCCGGAUAGCCGUUUAUGCUCCAGAAGCUUACUGCCCAACAAUCGGAUUACCGUUUGUCAGGAUCCGGUUAGCCGCUUUCAAUUUGGAUAGAUUCUGCCCAACAUCCGGCUUACCGGUUUUUCACAUCCGGUUCGCCACUUGCUACAGUGACUGCUACAGUGAACUAUUUUAUAAAAUUAUAGUUUAGCCCCAAAACUUUUCAUAACUAUACUAGGGCCCAAAACGUUAUACAUUUGACAAAUAAGUCCAAUUUCAGAAUCUCUAAAUAAUACUUACUAAUCCCAAAACUUUUUUAAAAUUAUGAUAUGGCCCAAAAUGAUAUGAAACUUUUCAAAUAAGUCCUUUUCCAAAAUUUCAAGCAAUACUUGUUGAUUUCAAAGUUUUCAAAAUUCUUUCAAUUAAACCAUAAACUUGAAAAGCAACCAAUUUCAUAAAAUCAUUUUUCCACUAAAUAUGAAACCUUUAUAAUGAGAAAAUAAUAUUUAUUUAAAAAGUAUAAAAAAAUCAUUUGAGCUUAAAAGAUUAAUCAUUCUUAAUCUUGUUUGUUAUCAUCAAAAUCAACAUUAUGGAAACAUAUAUGUUAACACAACUAACUUCAUUGAUCAACCUCCUCAACCAUAAUACUGAAUAUCACCUAAACACUUCUAAAUUAUCAAAAGAUUAUAUUAGAGCUAAUGUCAACAUACAUUAAACAUUCAUAAUCAUCAAAUCAUAAUACAAUUAUACAAUCCAAAAUGAGAUGAUCUAAAUGCCCUAAUAAUAUCAUUUAUAUCUCCUAGCACCAUCACGUGGCCAAAAUUAAAAAAAAAAAAUACUACAAUCACUGGGUCGAUUGGUGUACCACAACCUUCUUCAGGGGGAAAGUAUAAUAAAAUGAAAUGAGUAUAAAACUCAAUGAGUGGAUAAUAGUUUUUGAAAAUAACAUAUUUUAAAAUAAUUAUUUCUUUUCAAUACACCAUUUUCAUCAAACUAUAAGUAAGAACAUAGAUGAAUUAUUCGGACUUUAAAUCAAACAACUGUCGUUAAAAGAAUACAUGAUAUUAUACAUAAUAUACAAGGAAAUCAUAUCAAAAUAUAAUAUAAAAUACUUGAUUAUGAAAUUGUCACUAAAUAGUACCUAAGUAAAUAAUCUUGUCAUUCUCGCACCUCUUAUCGAUGGUGAAAUGACGUACUAUCUGAGUACUAUCAUGUCCGGAGCUAGAACGAGUAGACCAAUGGCAUGCUAUCUCAUAUAUCUCAUCAUAUCUCCUUAUAUUUCAUGUAAAAAACAAUCCCUACAGGACAAAAACACCCAAGCACACAACCCAAAAUCUUUGUGUAUAUUCAGACGGGACCCAAAGAUCUCUAGCUCAAUUGUAAUCUCUACAACUGAAUCUAUAUCUCUGUAUCUGAAAAUGUAUCUAUAGGGGAGGAGUAUUGUCAAAUGAUUUUGAAAACAAACUCUUAUACACUUGUAGAUAAACAUAUAAUCAUACUUUAAACUUCAUUUCCUUUUUCAUUAACAUACUGUAAAUCUAUUUUUCUUUUCUUUAAAAUACUCUUAUGCGUUUACUCAACAUAGAGAAGCAAAAGUAAUCAUCAAAUACGCUUUAACAAUAUAUUAAUACAUAAAUAAAACUCAUUUAUAAAACCAUUAAAUCAAAACAUUAAACUCUUGUUUCAUAUGCAUGCGUUACUUUACUUAAUUUAAAAAUCAUAAUAAAUUAUAAAGAUGGGUUUAGUAUAUUCCAUUUGCAAUGAUGAUGCUCAAGCUCAACUAUUAUCGACAUCCGCAGAUUGACUCACGUUUAUGGCUCCUCUAAAUUGUGGAACGACAUAAUUACUUUUUUGAAUAUAUGAAAUACAACUAGCUUUAAGCAAGAUAGCUCUCAAUGAAUAUUUAUCCCACAAUGUACAACUCCCGAAACCAUACUUGUAAGAUAAAAAUGACCAUAAUAUACUCAAAGCCAUAAUUUACACCUUAUACCUAAAAUUCCAUACUCCUUAAAUUUUUCAUAUGUUAUAAUACUAAUAAAUCUUCCACAUUAUCAAAAAUCUCAUAAUUAACCAUAACCUACCUAAACAUGAUGCAUAACUAUAAGCUAUUUACAUACCGAAAUGAGGGAACGAUGAGGGCUACGCGUUUCUAGGUGUACAAUGCCUCAUUGGUGCCCUUGUGCAUCUAUAAUAAUCCACUAGUUACAAAACUUAGCUUCGGACAAUCUUUACCCAUUUGUUAGAAACCUUAACUAUAAAUAAAGUAUACAAAUCUUUAAAUUAACUUCAUUCCCAUGAGAUCCAACUUCGAAUAAAGAUAACAUGAUAGAAAUCUUACUUCCUUUGGUGAGAAAAACCAACUUGGAAGCUUGAAUCACUUCCUUCUCACUUAAAUCCCCUCUCUACACUUACAUUUAAAUUCCUCUUUAAUGGAUGUUUUCAAAAGAAUUUAGGGACGGAAACACUCUAGAAUAACUCUCCAUUCCAAGCUUUCCAAGAUCCAAACUCAAACUUUGAAAAAUUUCCCCAUUUUUCUCCUCUUUCCCAUUGCUCCUCUUCUCCUUUUCUUUUUUGCCUUUUUUUUUUCAAAUCAAUACAUAUAAAAUCCAAUGGAGACUAACGGGCUUUCAAGUAAGGGUGGAUGUUCAAAUUGGUAUUUGUUUUAUUCUUUAUUAAUCUGGCCUGGAUUUGAGAUUUUGGAACUAUAAGUGGCUGGUUACUGGGAAAUUUUUGAAAAUGAAAUUGUUGUAACCUAAAUUGGACCCAAACUGAAAUUGAGACCUAAAUUUUCAAACCGAACCAAUCCAAAGUUUGAUCCCAAAUAGAACCGAGUCGAACUAAAUUCGGUUCGGUUCUGUUUGGGUUCAUGUUUUGAACCUAAUUGGGUUGAAUACUCUAACCAGAUCAGGUUGUAACCUAACUGGAACUCGAACAACCCGAAUCGAAACCCGAUAUGCCCACCCCUAUUUUAAAGCCUACAGACCAAUGGAAGAAAUGGAAAGAAAAAAUAUGUUACAGUUAUUAACUUGAUUCUUGGGCAUUAUAAUCUCAAUAUUUAACAUGAUUUUGUUUCUCAUAUUAGUUUCUAUCUUCUGCGUUGAGACCUAGAGUCUUAUUUAUGUUGGCAUCUUGUAAGGGUUGGCAUUCUUAUUGAAUUGUAAUUCAUAAAUUGAAGGCUAUGUUAAUUGGGAGAUUUCUUAAUUUAGUUAUUUUCUUAAAAUUAGGAUUUAAGUCUUUUCAUUUUAAGGAUUUACUUAGAACACAAAGAGUCUAAUUUUGGAAGCAAAUCAAAAUUAAAAAAAAAAAAAAAAGGCUCUCUAUAACUUGUUAUAGAAGUUAUACAUUGAAGAUAGCUCAUCACAAGCAGAAAAAUAGAAUUUUAAGGUCGAUUGCUAUAAAUAGUAUUAGAUGAACAAUAUUAGUUAAUAGUGUCUAUUGAAACUAUUCAUUGAACUUUAAUCUUUAUAGGGUAAACGCUUAUUUAGUCCCUAUAUUUUCACUCAAAUAUAUGUUUAGUCUCACAUUAUAAAAUAUAUCUCAAAAUACUCAUAUAGUUAAAUAUGUUACACUCUUAACCUUUUUUAGUUUUAUGAUAACACCCUUCAAACAACAUUCUUGACAUGAAUUAAGGUAUCUAUAAAAAAAAGUUAAUUAGCAUCUUAACCAAUAAUUAAUUAUUAGCAAAUUAAUUAACAAAUACCACUGUGAAAGAACUAAUAUUUUUGUACUAUUGCAAGAAUCUUACUAAUAAUUAUUUAUAAAUAAAUUAAUAUUAGCCAACUUAAAACAAUGUUUAUUAAUAUCUUUACAACAAUUUUAAUAAUAAUUUUUUUAUAAAAAUUAAUUUACUAAAUUAAUUCUAAAAGUAAAAUAAUAAUAUAAAAGUUUGGAUAAAUUUUUAUGUUACUUUAAAGAUAAAUUUUGGUAAAUUAACAAUUUUUAUUGAUAUCCCAAGAAUAUUGUUGCAAGAGUGUUAUCAUAAAAAGAAAAAAAUUAAGGGUAACAAAUUAAGGGUAGGAAUGAAACAUAUUUGACCUCAUGGGUGUCUUGAGAUGUGUCUCUCUGUGUGUAACACUUAAAUCAAAAUAUAGGGAUUAAAUAAGUAUUUACCUAUUUUAUAUUCAUCCCACUCUUAGACAUACUUUUGGUGUGUUUCGGAUUGAGGUUGAGCAGCUGUAGCUUUUAAGCUACAACACUAAAGUGUUUGGUAAACACUAGCUGAUGUACCUUGAAAGUUAUGUUAAUAUGAUUUUUCACUUGUAUAAUAAAAAAUCUAUUAUAUCUUUAAUGAUUUUUUCAAAAUUAUUAUUUAAAAUUUAUAUUUACUAUAUAUUAUUGAUUUUUGUUUUAUAGUUACAGUUUUGUUUCCAUAGCAGUUGUAGCUUAAAAGUUAUAGCACCUCAAUCUCAAACAGGACCUUUGUUAAUUGGUCUCUCUUCGUUAAUUGGUCUCUUCCAAAAAAGAUGUUGUUUGGAGCAGUUAAGGAAUUUCAUAUCAAGGUUAUGAACAAGAAGACAAAUGGUUCUCGCAAAUUACAUAUGCCUUAGUUGACUGAGAUGGCGGCAAAAGUAAAUUUUCCUACAUAUUAAAAUACUAAAUGUGAUAUAAGAACCAACUAUAAGCAAGUUAAAUUGAUGAUUUGGUAUAAUUACAAUAAUUAUUAUUUUUAAUUGAUCUGUGGGUUGAAAUGACUAUAUAAUCAUUCUUAAGUGCGAGCAUCCAUUUUUUUUUGGGAAAAUGACAAACACACCCCCAACGUUUAGGCAAAGGGAUAAAAAACCUCCUAACGUUUUAAAAAAGACAUUUACACCCCAACUUAUUAUAAUUUUACCAUUAUACCCUUCUAGCAUAUAAAAAAAAUUAUUAGAUUAUCUAAUUUGUCUAUAUAUUGUUAAUAAAAUUAUAAAUAGAAAAAUUGGAUAUUAUUAAAAAAAUUAUAAAUAUACCCUCAUUGCCCAAAUCUUCUAUUUAAAUUUUUAUCAAUAACCAAUUUUCAAAAAAGACAUCUAUACACCUAAAAAAUUAUAAAUAAAUUAUAAUUUUAAAAAUAAAAUUGGUUAUUAAUAACCAAUUUUAUUUAAAAUUUAAACUUUUAUAUUUAACAAUUCUCCACAUGUCAAUCAUUUAAACCUGUACAUUUAUAACCAAUUUUCUAUGUUAUUUAUUAUGGUAUUAAUAACCAAUUUUAUUUUUAAAAUUAUAAUUUAUUUACAAUUUUUUUUAAGUGUGUAGAUGUCUUUUUUGAAAAUUGAUUAUUGAUAAAAAUUUAAAUAGAGGAAUGAUGCAAUGAGGGUAUAUUUAUAAUUUUAUUAACAAUAUAUAGACAAAUUGGAUAAUCUAAUAAUUUUUUUUAUAUGUUAGAAGGGUAUAAUGGUAAAAUUAUAAUAAAUUGGGGGUGUAAAUAUCUUUUUCAAAACGUUAGGGGGGCUUUUGUCCCUUUGCCUAAACGUUGGGAGUGUGUUUGUCCUUUUUCCUUUUUUUUUUUUAAUACGGAUACACUCUUAAACUGUAUAAUUAAAAAAGAUACGUUUUGAAAUAAAUUACAAUAUUGUACUGUUUAAAAGAAUUAAAAACUAACUCUCUUUAAUUUCACAACUUAAAAACGUAGCCAAAAGGAAAUUUUAGGGUGGCGGCAUUGAAAAAAAACACAUAUAUUGCUUAUCAAAUCUAAGAUUAAAAUUCGGAAUUAAAAUUUGAGACGGAUAUAAAAUAUCGUAUAAGUAAUUUAGGAUGCCAUAAAUUCAUACUGGUGUCUAGUUCUAAACUUUAUCUCCAGAUUUCAAACAUUCAUCGCUUUGUGGCCCCUAUUUUCUUUGUUUUUCUAACUUUCUUCCGGUGGCGGAGCCCACCAUUGGAAGAAGUUAAUUUUUUUUUUGACAUUUUUUUCAUUGUCUAGCCCACCACCUUGUUUGACUCUUCUCUGGAAAAAGUUACUUUUUUGGGUUUUUCAAUAUGCUAUAAUUUUUUUACAGCAUCAAUAAUAUUUUUAAUUGUGUAUCAUUAAAUUUAAUUAAUGAUAUAUUUAAUCAAUGGUAUAUAAUAUUUGUAGUAAAAAAAAAUAAUAAACGGUUAUUAAAUGUGUAAGGGGUGGAGAAUUUUAUAAAAUAACUAUGACCAUCCUUAGAGUUUGAAAUAAUUUCACUUAAAUAGCAUAUUUUAUUUAAAAUUAUUUUUCAAUCCUCCUUUAAAUUUGAAUUGUGAUAAUCUUUUUUAAAUAAAUCUUCCAAAAUCUAUUACCAUGAAGUAUAAAAUAUAAUGGUAGGUUAUUUAACACAAAUCAAAUAAAUAAGUUGCAAUUAUAAAAUUUAUAUAUGAUAUAAUAGUAAUAAAUAACACAACUAAGUACAUAUACUUAAGUAAAUGCAUAGUUACAUCAAUAAACUCAUUGUUGAGAUUGCUUGUAACAUAAAAAUUACUUGAUCACACAUGUUUUAAUAAAAUUUAAUAUCGUAUAUUAAAAUACUUAUUAUUUUAUAUAAUAUUAAGGGUCAUUGUAUAAUUAAUCAUGAAGUGUGUAUUAUUUUUAACACCCAUUUAACAUGCUUAUUCUCUGAACUUUAUAUUUAUCUUACAAUUAAUAUCCUUACAUGGUAGGAAUUUUAAGUUUUAUAAGCCUAUAUAUUUUCAUUUUAUUUUCAAAUAUCACUUUGUUAAUUUCAUAAAAGUUAAAUCUAAUAUAUAUUCCUAAUGAGCUUUAGUUUAUGAAUCGUGAAAGAUUAUUUUAUUGAUAUCAUUUGAUUGUAAUUAUAAAAUUUUAUGUUAUUAAGAGUCAUUACUUUUGUUAUGAUAAUUAAUUGUGACUAUAAAUAAAAUAUUGUCUCCAAUAAUAUUUACGCAGGAAAAAAAGUGAACGAAAAUCAUUUGUAUUUUUAGAUUUUUAUUGACAUGGUAGGAAAUUAUCUCAGCCUUAAAACAUUUAACUUUCACAAGCUUGUUUUCAUUUUAUUUUCAAAUGUCACUUUGUUAAUUUCAUAAAAAUUAAAUCUAACACAUAUUCCUAAUUAACUUUAGUUUAUGAAUUAUAAAAAAUUAUUUUAUUGUUAUUCUUUGAUAGUAAUUAUAAAAUUUUUAUGCUACGAAGAGUCAUUACUUUUAUUAUGAUAAUUAAUAGUGACAAUAAAUAAAAUAUUACAUCAAAUAAUAUUUAAUGGACAAAAUGAGGAAAAAAAAUCAUUGUAUAUUUUUAUAUUUCCAUUAUAAAGAUAUGGUUUGGGAUACUUUAACUUAAACUUUUGGCACACUAGUUGAGCAACUAAUAUCUCAUAAUCUAAUGGUUGAUAUUGAAAGUCAAAGCAACAUUUCAUAAUAUUAUAUCUUCCACCAUUGAAUUGCAUGAAAUAAAUAGUUUAAUUUUUUGAUAAAAAUUAAAAUCAAAAUAUUUCUCACUCUAUAGUUAUAUAGACAUAUAUAUUUUUCAAUAAUAAUUGGUGAAUAAAAUAUUUCUCAUUUGUUGUGACUCAUAUAGUAUUAUUAAUAAAACACAUAUAAAAUUGUUUAUUGCAAUGCUUUCUAUUAUCAUUAUUAUUUAGGUAUUAAUGGUUUGUAAUUAAAUUCAUACAAUACAAAUUAUUACAAGACUUUGUGUUAAAUAACCUACUUGAUAUUAUAUUUUAUACUUAAAGGUAACUGAUUUUGGAAGAUUUAUUUAAAAGAGAUUAUCAUAUUACAAAUUUAAAGGAGGGCUGAAAAGUAAUUUUAAAUAAAAUAUACUAUUUAAGUGAAAUUAUAUCAAACUCUAAGGGUAGUCACAAUUAUUUUACAAAAAUUAUCCACCUACUUGAACGGUUACCAUUAUUUUUUAGUACAAAUAUUAUAUACCAUUGAUUAGAUCUAAUGGUUCACAAUUAAUAAAUUAUUGAUGCUGUAAAAAAAUUUACAGCAUCAUAGAGGAACCCUGCUUUUCUAUAUUUUUUUCAAUGUCGAACCUGCCGAGCCCACCAACAUGUUCUCAUUUUUUUUUUUUUUUGGCAAACCCUUACAUACAUUUAAUGUAUCUUACACCAAACAAUGAAUGGACGCCACACCACUCACUGUGUGAGUGGUUAUAAUAUAUAUUAAGGCCAUGUUUGCUUGGGGGUUGAGAAGUGAGGAGAGGAAAAGAAUUUAAUUUUUUUUAUAUUUUCCAUUGUUUUGUUGGACUAAAUUUAAUGGAAUUGAAUUUUCAUUGAAAUUUAAUUUCCAUCAAUUUGAAGAAUUUGUAUUCCUUAUCAAUGACUAAGGAUAUCAAAUUUCUUAUCUAUUUAAACACAAAAAAUCUAAUAUUAUCCUCUAAACAAAAUCAAUUUUAAAUAAAUGAAAGUAUAAAUAAUUUAUAUUUAUUUUAUUAAAUUAAUAGGAUAAAUUUAUUUGAUAAAAGAAAAAACAGUAAAGUGACUCACCGGAAAGUCACCGAAGACACGCUGGAGUUUCGCCGAAGACGCGUUUUUCCAUCAAAACCGGUACCAAUAGAAUUCUCAUGAGCCGAUCUACAACUUUAUGGGGUUAGAAAUGCUAAUAUACAUUGUUAUUUACCUCAAGUCUUGUUUAAAUACUUGAGAAAAUUUUAACUCAACUAUAUAGUGUAUUUUCUUCAAAAUUAACAUUUCCAAUGAGUAAAUCGUCCAUUUUUUUUAUCAUUAUUAUGUAUUUAACACGAUGAAAAAUGGUAGUCAACUAUGGUCAACGGCGCCGGUCAAUGACGAUCAACAGAGGUCAAUGCGGCAGCUGUUCAUGCCCAAAUGCUGUAAUUUUUUAAAAUAAAUUUUUUUAUUUAAUUAAGUAAUUUUUAGAUUAAAUUAAUUCAUAGUUUAAUUAUGUUUUAAUUUAUUAACAAUAUUAACAUUAAAGAUAGUGGGUAUAUUUGUCCAAAUAAGAAAUAUGUAAUUUCUUUUUCUUUCAAAUUUUAUGUGAAACCAAAUAAUAACAAUUAAUUUUUGCACUCUUUUCCUCUUAUCUCAUCUCUAUUCCUCACAUUUUUUCUCCUUUCGUCUCCUCCCCUUUUUUAAAACAACACCACAUAAAUGUAUGUUAGAGGAAUCUUUUUUAUUUUAUUCAGCCUUUGAUUUCCUUUCAUCGGUGGGGUAGGUACUUUUAAAAAGAAAAUUAUACUUUAAAAAUAUUUUCAACAUUUAUUUUUAAUUAAAUAUUAUAUUAUCAAAUUACUCUUUAUGAAAUUUACCGUUAUAGACAAUCAAAAUUACUAGAUAAAAUUUUAUAAUUGUGUCAAAAAAAAUCGUUUUUUAAUUUUUUUUCAUUUUAAUUUUCUCCUCGACUUCACUGGUAAAUAUUUACUCUAAAAAAGGGUGGCUGUUAAAACAAAAAUAAAUAAAUAAUUGGGCAUUGGUUUGGAUAAGAUGGACAACAUUUAUUGGGACUCUAUAUCAUUGGGCGGUAGAACUUGGAGGUUGGACCGUUGCACUUUUAAUAAAUUAAUCUGUAAGCAGUUUUUUUUUUUUUAUUGGCUGAUAUAUAACAAUCAGAGCUCUACUAAUAUAAUCAGACGUCAAUCGGGUACUCUUCUCAAUAAUCAUAUUGUAGCACAGCUCGAAUAUCGACUCAUCGUUUAAAGCUGAAGGGAGAUCUACCAUCACUAUUAAUACCGGAGGGGAAUCAAUUCUACCCCAGUGUGGGGAGAAAAAAACAACGUCCAAGUUCUCAAUAAUUUUAGUGGGAACAAAAGUUCAGUUCAUGACCAUGAAAUUAAUCGGAGUUGUUCCGAUGGUUACCGCAAGAGUGUUGACGUUUGAAGAAAGAGAGCUUGGGCAAAAUAAAUUAAUUUUAGGGUAACUUUGGGAUUUUGAUGAGCGUGUAUAGUAAAAAAUUAUAUUUUAAAUUUGACAGUGUAUUGAGUAAAUGAGUGUCUAAAAUAAUAUUUAGAGUAUAAAUAAUCUCACCUAAAAAAAUUAUUUACUUUAAUAAAGACACAAUAAUUUACGUGAUUCGACUUAAAAUCUACAUUUACGAGCAAAAGCUAAAAAUAACUUCAUUAAUAAAUAAAAAUUUACCAAAUUAAGAAAAAAUACCCUCAAAACUCAAAAUCCCAAUAUACCCAAUUAAACCAUUAGUAGAACACUCAAAUAAAAACACUAUUCAAUUUCUCAAAUUACUUCCCUUAUAAUUACUUUCAACUUUCACACUUUAGGAUGAUCUUUAAAUGACAAACUGCCCCUCUGUCUAUGCCUCUAUGGGAGUGCGUGGCUCAACUAUCUCUCAAUUUUGGUAACUUGUCUAGUCCACCGAAUUCGGAACCCAAUCUUGUGCCGCCAUUUCUUAACAAGCUCUCCAAAUGCAUUAAAGUGUCAAGUAUUUCAAUAACCAACUCUCUACAUUUGUUGGCAAUUUUCAAUGUAUUUAAUUCACUUUUUUUGACUUUUCAACACACAGGAUGUGGAGAAAAAUAAUUAUGUUUUCGUUCUAUUUUUUUCAAUAGUUAGUAUGAUAAUCAGCCAAAUAUAUACAACAUACCAUUCUAUAACUCUGAUACUUUGUAAUAUAUACCAAUCAAGCCCCAAGUCUAAGACUGUCUCAUAAAACUAUUAAAAAAUUUGAACCUAAUACUUCAACGCAUCACUAAAAUGUUUUUUAAAUUAGAUUUUAUUACUUUUUAACGAGUCAUAUCAAUCAAUAAAUUUUAAAAGACUUUUUAAGUGAGUUUUUUUUUUUUUAUUGAAGAGAGAGAAAAGUGCUAUCUCAUUUGAAGGGUUUUUUAAAAUCUUAAAUUUAUUCUACUGUUUCUCAUAAUUUCAUGAAGAGAAAGAAGUAUCAUAUUUGCUAUUGUUUUUGUAGAGAAAUUUUUUGAUUAAAAUAAUAUAUUUAUACUUUUAUUUAAAGAAUCUUUUAAUUUUUUUCCACUCUUUCAUUUACAAUAUAUAGUAAAUAAAUAUUUAAAAAAAUUAAAUUUAGAAGAAUAUUUUAGUGAUCUUCUUAGAUCUACUUAGUGUCUGUUUGGUAUAAUUUAUGUAAUGCUCAUAAGUAUUUAUUUAGUCUCAUAAAUUCUUAUCAUAAUUUUUAUUACUAUUUAUUUUUUUUAGAGAUUUUAUAGUUUAAAUAAGUUAUUUUAUUUCUACUAGUAAAAUCUCAAAUUAGGAGUAGAGAUUGAAAUUUUUUUAAAUAUUAAAAUAUUCUCUACUAAUUUGACUUUUUUUCAUAACAUAACUUUAAAAACUUACCUAUUAAAAUAAUUUCAUAAAUUUUUAAUAAAAAUUCUUAUUAACAAUCAACAACAAAAAUUUUUUAAGUAAAAAUUUUGUUAUCAAAAACUUUAUUUAAAUAAAUUUUAUUUAAAAAAUUAUAUUAAACGGAGCCUUACCCUCGCGAAUCGCGAUACCAUAACUAUUUUGAAGAAAUCGAAGAAUGGAAAGAAUUAAAAAGGCAAAACCGCGUUGUAAAGGAGGACGUGGAUCAACGUACCGAGGCCACUAAUGACAAAUAGCUACACCUUUUGAAGUAGACUCCCAACGUCUACCUAACCUAAACGGGUACAGAGACCUUUUGUUUUUUUUUUACAAUAGGUACAGUUACGUAUGACUGAAGAAAUAAAAAUAAUAAUAAAAAGCAUAGGGUAGAAGAAAACAAAGCUACCCAUUGGCUUCGUGUUGCAACUCUGCAACAGAAUGUCAAAUCGACAAUGAAAUUUCUUUGUCCAUUUUUCACGUGCACAACCAUAAAAAAGAAAAAAAAAUAUCAAAAUUAUAUGCAUAUGCUGGUGGGUCCCUUUUCAAAUUUGACAAGAGGAUUUUAAUUUCUUGUGAAAUUUGUGUUACUUCAAAUCAUUUUAUAGAAAUUAGGGAUGGCAAUGGGGAGGGGAGGGGAGAGGACCAAUCUCCCCGUAUCCAUCUCUGAUAUUUUGCGUAUCUCUCCGUCUCCUCCCCAUCCCCAUCAUAAUUACUUGAGAGAAUCUCAUUCUCCUCCCCGAAUAAUAACAUGGGGAUUCCCGAGGGUCCCCGAUCUCCGAAUAACUAAUACAUAUUUUUUAUUUUUUAUUUUUAGUUAAUUCUAUUAAAAUAAAAAAUUCAAACAAAAGUAAAGUUCGAAAUAUAUUUUACAUUAACAUUGAUUCAUUAUAAAAGUCACAUGCAAAAUACAAAUUAUCAAAAUAAUUAUCUUUAUCAAUCUUCAUAAUCCUACAAUAAAAAGAAAAAGAAUUUACUUUUAUAUCAACAAUAAAAUAAAUGAAAUAAAUGUAGAUACUUAAUUAAUAUUUUUAAUAAAACAAAAUUAAAAUUAAAACAAAAUUUUUGGGCUAAUAGAAUCUAAAACUUUAAUUAGUUAAUUAGGCCUAAAAGUUGAAUAAUAUAAAUAUUUUAAUAUUUGUUACUUUUACCAAUAUUUAUAAUUUUAUAAUAUAAUUCAAAUUUUAUUAUUUAUUUACUAGUAAUUUUAAAAAAUAAAAUAAAAUUAAAAAUUAAAAGAGGGAAAUGGGGAGGGGAUGGGGAUUCCACUUCAUCCCCACCCGUUCCCCGAAUAAGAAACUUGGUAAAAAAAAUUCCCCAUCCCUUCCCCGUAUAAGAAAUUGGGUAUAGAAUUAUCCACGUACCCUCCCCAAAUGGAAAAAAUCCCCGAGAGUACCCGCCUCCGUGGGGAUUUUUACCAUCCCUAAAAUUCCAUUGGCUUCGUGUUGCAACUCUGCAAUAGAAUGUCAAAUCGAGAUUGAAAUUUCUUUGUCCAUUUUUCACAUGCACAACCAUAAAAAAGAAAAAAAAAAUAUCACAAUUGUAUGUAUAUGCAGGUGGGUCCCUUUUCAAAUUUGACAAGAGGAUUUUAAUUUCUUGUGGAAUGUGUUACUUCAAAUCAUUUUAUAGAAAUUAGGGAUGGCAAUGGGGAGGGGAGGGGAGGGGACCAAUCUCCCCGUACUCAUCCCCGAUAUUUUACGUAUGUCCCCGUCCCCUCCCCAUCCCCGUCAUAAUUACUUGAGAGAAUCUUCAUCCCCUCUCCAAAUAAUAACAGGGGAUCCCCGAGGGUCCCCGAUCUCCGAAUAAUUAAUAUAUAUAUAUAUAUUAUUUUUUAUUUUGAGUUAAUUAUAUUAAAAUAAAAAAUUCAAACAAAAGUAAAGUUCGAAAUAUAUUUUACAUUAACAUUGAUCCAUUAUAAAAGUCACAUGCAAAAUACAAAUUAUCAAAAUAAUUAUCUUUGUCAAUCAUCAUAAUCCUACAAUAAAAAGAAAAAGAAUUUACUUUUUUAUCGACAAUAAAAUAAAUGAAAUAAAUGUAGAUACUUAAUUAAUAUUUUUAAUAAAACAAAAUUAAAAUUAAAACAAAAUUUUUAGACUAAUAGAAUCUACCCGACCUUUUUAAUGUCCUAAAUAAAAAUUUAAGACUUUAAUUAGUUAAUUAGGCCUAGAAGUUUAAUAAUAUAAAUAUUUUAAUAUUUGUUACUUUACCAAUAUUUAUAAUUUUAUAAUAUAAUUCAAAUUUUAUUAUUUAUUUACUAGUAAUUUUAAAAAAAUAAAAAUUAAAUUAAAUUUUAAAAUAAAAAUUAAAAUGGGGAAAUGAGGAGGGGAUGGGGAUUCCACCUCAUCCCCGCCCCUUCCCCGAAUAAGAAAUUGGGUAUAGAAUUAUCCCCGUACCCACCCCGAAUGGGAAAAAUCCCCGAGAGUACCCAUCCCCUAAUGGGAAAUUGGGUAUAGAAUUUAUUCUACUUUUUCUCAUAAUUUCAUGAAGAGAAAGAAGUAUCAUAUUUGCUAUUGUUUUUGUAGAGAAAUUUUUUUGAUUAAAAUAAUAUAUUUAUACUUUUAUUUAAAGAAUCUUUUAAUUUUUUUUCCACUCUUUCAUUUACAAUAUAUAAAAGUAAAUAAAUAUUUAAAGAAUUAAAUUUAGAAGAAUAUUUUAGUGAUCCUCUUAGAUUUACUUAGUGUCUGUUUGGUAUAAUUUAUGUAAUGCUCAUAAGUAUUUAUUUAGUCUCAUAAAUUCUUAUCAUAAUUUUUGUUACUGUUUAUUUUUUUUAGAGAUUUUACAGUUUAAAUAAGUUAUUUUAUUUCUACUAGUAAAAUCUCAAAUUAGGCGUAGAGAUUGAAUUUUUUUUUUAAAUAUUAAAAUAUCUAAAAUAUUCUCUACUUAUUUGAUAUUCUUUUCAUAACAUAACUUUAAAAACUUACCUAUUAAAAUAAUUUCAUAAAUUUUUAAUAAAUUUUUUUAUUAACAAUCAACAACAAAAAUUUUUUUAAAUAAAAAUUUUAUUUAUAAAAAUUUUGUUAUCGAAAACUUUAUUUAAAUAAAUUUUAUUUAAAAAAUUAUAUUAAACGGAGCCUUACCUCGCGAAUCGCGAUACCACAAUUAUUUUGAAGAAAUCGAAGAAUGGAAAGAAUUGAAAAGGCAAAACCGUGUUGUAAAAGAGGACGUGGAUCAACGUACCGAGGCCACUAAUGACAAAUAGCUACACCUUUUGAAGUAGACUCCCAGCGUCUACCUAACCUAAACGGGUACAGAGACCUUUUGUUUUUUUUUUUUUACAAUAGGUACAGUUACGUAUGACUGAAGAAAUAAAAAAAAAAAAAAUGAAAAGCAUAGGGUAGAAGAAAACAAAGCUACCCAUUGGCUUCGUGUUGCAACUCUGCAACAGAAUGUCAAAUCGACAAUGAAAUUUCUUUGUCCAUUUUUCACAUGCACAGCCAUAAAAAAGAAAAAAAUAUAUCACAAUUGUAUGUAUAUGUUGGUGGGUCCCUUUUCAAUUUUGACAAGAGGAUUUUAAUUUUUUGUGAAAUUUGUAUUACUUCAAAUCAUUUUAUAGAAAUUAGGGAUGGCAAUGGGGAGGGGAGGGGAGGGGAGGGGACCAAUCUCUCCGUAUCUAUCCCUGAUUUUUUUCGUAUGUCACCGUCCCCUCCCCAUCCUCAUCAUAAUUACUUGAGAGAAUCUCCUUUCUCUUCCCGAAUAAUAACAUAGGGAUUCCCGAGGGUCCCCGAUCCCCGAUCCCCGAAUAACUAAUACAUAUUUUUUAUUUUUUAUUUUUAGUUAAUUCUAUUAAAAUAAAAAAUUCAAACAAAAGUAAAGUUCGAAAUAUAUUUUACAUUAACAUUGAUCCAUUAUAAAAGUCACAUGCAAAAUACAAAUUAUCAAAAUAAUUAUUUUUGUCAAUCUUCAUAAUCCUACAAUAAAAAGAAAAAGAAUUUACUUUUAUAUCGACAAUAAAAUAAAUGAAAUAAAUGUAGAUACUUAAUUAAUAUUUUUAAUAAAAUAAAAUUAAUAUUAAAACAAAAUUUUUGGGCUAAUAGAAUCUAUCCGACCUUUUUAAUGUCUUAAAUAAAACUUUAGGACUUUAAUUAGUUAAUUAGGCCUAGAAGUUUAAUAAUAUAAAUAUUUUAAUAUUUGUUACUUUUACCAAUAGUUAUAAUUUUAUAAUAUAAUUCAAAUUUUAUUAUUUAUUUACUAGUAAUUUUAAAAAAUAAAAAUAAAAUUAAAAAUUAAAAUGGGGAAAUGAGGAGGGGAUGGGGAUUCCACCUCAUCCCCGCUCCUUCCCCGAAUAAGAAAUUGGGUAAAAAAAUUUUCACAUCCCUUCCCCGAAUAAGAAAUUGGGUAUAGAAUUAUCCUCGUACUCUCCCCGAAUGGAAAAAAUUCCCGAGAGUACCCGUCACCGAAUAAGAAAUUGAGUAUAGAAUUUAUUCUACUUUUUCUCAUAAUUUCAUGAAGAGAAAGAAGUAUCAUAUUUGCUAUUAUUUUUGUCGAGAAAUUUUUUUUGAUUAAAAUAAUAUAUUUAUACUUUUAUUUAAAGAAUCUUUUAAUUUUUUUCCACUCUUUCAUUUACAAUAUAUAAAAGUAAAUAAAUAUUUAAAGAAUUAAAUUUAGAAGAAUAUUUUAGUGAUCCUCUUAGAUUUACUUAGUGUCUGUUUGGUAUAAUUUAUGUAAUUUUCAUAAGUAUUUAUUUAAUUUCAUAAAUUCUUAUCAUAAUUUUUGUUACUGUUUAUUUUUUUUAGAGAUUUUACAGUUUAAAUAAGUUAUUUUAUUUCUACUAGUAAAAUCUCAAAUUAGGAGUAGAGAUUGAAUUUUUUUUAAAUAUUAAAAUAUCUAAAAUAUUCCGUACUUAUUUGACAUUCUUUUCAUAACAUAACUUUAAAAAUUUACCGAUUAAAAUAAUUUUAUAAAUUUUUAAUAAAUUUUUUUAUUAACAAUCAACAACUAAAAUUUUUUAAGUAAAAAUUUUAUUUAUAAAAAUUUUGUUAUCGAAAACUUUAUUUAAAUAAAUUUUAUUUAAAAAAUUAUAUUAAACGGAGUCUUACCUCGCGAAUCGUGAUACCACAACUAUUUUGAAGAAAUCGAAGAAUGGAAAGAAUUGAAAAGGCAAAACCGCAUUGUAAAAGAGGACGUGGAUCAACGUACCGAGGCCACUAAUGACAAAUAACUACACAUUUUGAAGUAGACUCUCAGUAUCUACCUAACCUAAACAGGUACAAAAAUCUUUUAUUUUUUUGAUCUCACUACGUUACGUUUAACAUAACAUACAUUCACACACAACAACAAUUUUCAUAAUAAGAUCCAUAACUAUUACUAUAUGUGACAAUUAUUACUAUGUGUGACGUAGCCUUAUUUUUUUUAACAAUAGGUGCAGAUACGUACGAAUGCAUUAAUUAAUGAAAAGCAGAGGGUAGAAGAAAACAAAGCUACGUCGGCAGACACGUUGCAGUAGGGAUUCUGGAAUGCAUUAAUUAAGGGGCCUUAAGUAUUCAAUAGUCAAAGAAAUGAGAAGGCAGAGCGUAGAAGAAAACAAAGCCACGUCGCCAGACACGUUGCUGAAGGGAUUAUGGAAUGCAUUAAUUAAGGGGUCUUAAAUAUUAAGUAGUGACAUCCUUUUUGUGUUUUUCCAUAAGAAGAUGCUGGAAUGCAUUAAUUAAGAGGCCCACUGUGAUUAAUUCAUAACUACUAGUAAUUUGUUUGUAUUCGAGUUGCUCCUUUGUAUAACUAGACGUGAAAAUGAGUGAUUGGUGGGGCGGUGGAGUCGAGGGUGCUAAGAGCAACAAAAACAAAUUCUGAAGCAAUUGUUCUGACUCUUGAGUGCUUAUAUUUAUUUCAUUAAUCUCGGAAGAUAUGGCGUCUCAUAAGGUGCCUGGUAAUCGCAAAUUGAUAGGUUCUAAAUCAGAAUACUAUUUUAUGCUUUAUGCAGGUACUGAAGAAGUGAAGAGCUACGACCGGAUUGAUUUUGGUAUGUUUGGUCGGAGUUGGGCUCCCAUUGUUUCUUGGGCCGUGAUAGUUGUUCCCCACGAGCCGGAGAGUAAUUGGAGAAAAAAUUUACCUCCUCCAAGUGUCAAUAAUAUGGACCCCGCUAGCUCGCUUUGUGUUAUUACAUCUGGUUCUUCUAAUGGUUAUAAGCCUAUAGGUGAUGAUAAAAAGGAUCGUCCUUUUCAUGGCGUUAGAACUACAGUUCCAUUGAACAAAUUGAAAUAUGAUCGUGAAGUGUUGCGCGGAGGUUCUCUUGUUUUGGAGAUUAAUCUUUUAGAGGUUUUUCACGGAGGAGAUGUUGUGGAUUCUGAUCAUACUUUUGAUGGUCAAGUGUUUUGGAACUUGUACUCGAAUUGAAUAUUGUACGGUGAGAUAAGUUGAUGUGUGUAUUAAUGGUAUUAUCUAAUAUAAACAUAGGAUUGGACAUAUAGUUGUGUCAAUGUAUUGUGUAAUUUAACUACCUCUAGAUAAUAUUAUCGUUUGUGUAAUGAUUGUAAUUGAUGUUUUGUUGGAGGAUCCUUUAGUAUGCUUAUAAAAAGGAUUCAAGUGUGUUGUAACGAGCAGAGCUCUUCUAAGUCUAGUCCAUAAAUAAAUAAAAGAGUUGACUAUAAUGUAAUAUUGUGGGGUCUUCUACUGUGUCUAUAAAAGGAUCCAAGUGUGUUGUAAUAUGAGUAGAGAUUCAUGAAUUUAGUCUAUAAAUAAAUUAAACAAGUGUUUUAUAUAGUCCUUUUAUGAACAUGUAUGGUCUCAUUUCCUUCAUAAAGCAAUGUAUAGCCGUUGUGACAAAAUCUUAUUACUCAAGUUUACUCAUGAAUCCUUUACACAAAUGUUACAAAUGUAUAAUAACAAAAUUGAAAAGUCAUUUUCACACGUUACAAAUAUAUACUAACAAAAUUGAAAUAACAUUAUUACAAAUUAGAACAAUAUGUAAUAACAAAAAAUAAAUAAAUAAACUCGAGGCUUGUAAAGUUAAUAGUUUAUUUAAAAAAAAUUAGAACAAUAUGUUUUAUAUAUUACUGGUGAAGAUGAAGAAGAGAUUCGAAUAACAAGAAAUAACUUAUUAGUUCGCUUCUAGAUGAAAAAGCUUGGUUAGCUUAAGCACUUCCUUGGUCUAGAAGUUAUCGAAUAGAAGAAGGGAUAUUUCUUUACCAACAAAAUUAUGCCAAAGACUUGCUGAAGAAGUUUGAAAUGAUGGAAUGAAAACUAAUCUCAACUCCAUUGGAAGUAAAUGCAAAAUUGUGCACACACGAAGGCAGAGAUUUACAAUAUAGAACAAUGUAUCAACAAUUGGUAGGUAGUUUAAUCUACCUUAUGCUGAAUCAACCGAAUAUUUCAUAUGUCGUAGGUGUCAUGAGUUGGUAAAUGCAAAAUCCAAAGAAGCUUCACUUGGAAGUAGUUCUGUGAAUACUAAGAUAUGUGAAGAGUACAAACAAUUAUGGUUCAUUGUGCAAGAAAGAUGAAAUUACAAGCUGACUAGCUAUUGUGACGCUGACUACGCCGGAGAUCAUGAUACAAAAAGAUUAACUACUAGGUAUGUUUUCAGAAUUAGGUCUAGAGUAGUUUUUUAGUGUAGUAAGAGACAACCAACUGUAUCACUAUCAACCACAGAGGCAGAGUAUAAAACAACAGUGAUGACAUCUCAAAAAAGCACUUGGUUGAUGUAGUUGAUCAAGGAUCUACACCAACUAGUAGAUUAUGUAUGCAAUACCACUGUAUUGCGAUAAUCAAUCGAUAAUCAACUUGGUAGAAAAUCUAGUUUUCCAUGCAAGAACUAAGCAUGUAGAGGUCCAUUAUCACUUCAUCAGGGAAAAUGUCUUACAAGAUAAAGUUGAGAUGCGGUACGUCAAGACAAACAAUUAAGUUACGGAUUUUUUUUUUUAUAAAAAGUCUUUGUACCAUGAAGUUUAAAAAGUUUCGUCAGCAGCUCAAUAUGGAUCGAAUGAUGAAACUUGGUUUUGAGGGGGAGUGUUAAAAGUGCAACACCAAUUUUAUGAUCCAAUUAAAUAACAUUUGUCCAAAUCCAAGUUCAUAACUCAAUCCAUAGAAGACUUAAGAAUUGUGUAGAGAACAUGGGACAUUUCUAAUCUAAAAAUAUUUAAUGAUGAUGAAAAUAUCUUAUUUUAGAAAUCUCUUGAACGGUGAUAUUUAUAAAAUGUGAUUGUUAAAUUUUUAUAAUUUAAUGUUUUGUGUGGUUUGUAUUAGUUUUAGGAUACUAUAAAUACCGCUAAACUCUUUGUUGUAGGCAUCAAGAGAGGAGUGAAGAAUUAGUAGGAAGAAAGAAGAGUGAGCCGUGAGUAUCGUAGUGUUUUUCUUAUAAAAUAUCAAUAAAAUCCUUUAAUUUAGUAAAAUACUUCUAUUUCUUAAAUAUUUUCAGUCUUAAGCAGCUUCGUCCUUCUUUCUCAACAAAAGCAUUCCAUUUAGUAUAUGAAAAGAAAGUUGUGAGUUUGUGAAGAGAGAAUAAUUAGAAUAUCUUUUGCAAUUGUUAUUUUCCCAAUUUUAAGUAACAGAGUUGCUUUCUCCUAGUAUAAGAGAGAUUGUAAUUGUUCUAUCCUUGUAUUCAAAGAAAAUUGUUAUAAUCCUCAUUUGAAUAGUGAAUUCUUUCUACUUUUGUUGUGGAUUUUUAACCCGGUUUAUUUGGAAUUUUUUCCACUUAAAAUUUGUGUGUCCCAUAUAUCUUCAUUUGUUCUUAAUAUCACUUUGGUUUCGGUCUGAUACGGUCCUUAAUUUCCUAAUAGAAAACAACCGAAACCAUCCAAUAACGAGAGUGAUCUCUGAAAGCUCCAUUGCAGAACAUGGAUAACCGCUGCUUCGGCCAUCUGUAUUAACUUUUACCCAGCCAUGCACUAUCGGGCAAAUUUUAGCAAAAUAUUGAAAAUGAGAGGUAUAACCAACUUGUAUUAGAUGAAAGGAGGAUGGGGUGUUUUCAUAUCGUAGCUCUGUCACGGCAUCGAUGUGAAGAAGAUGAGUUGGUCAUGUCUAAUUAACAAAAAAAAAAAAAAUCCUUUCUGCUAAUCCCAAUUUCAAAGCUUUCUUGUGUCGGACUUUAAUUCUAACUUUGUAAUAUCACACUUUCAAUGGUUAUUUUACCUUUAUAUUCACUAUUGACUUAUAGGGGUGAAAUGAAUAAUUAAAACUCUAUUAUGGAUAUAAAUAACAAAAAAGAAAUUUAUGUGUCGCGGAACUGGUACUCAUAUGAAAAUAACAUUUGACAAUAUCGAACCAUUGGAGCACUAAAUAAAUUAUAGCAUUAUAUAAAAGGGGAUUUGAAUACAUGCUCAUGUUAUGCCCUACGGACUUUCUUUUGUAUUUGUUGGCAAAAAUUUGCAGAUCGUAGAUAUUUGCCCCUAAGGUAACAAAACUGCAAAAGCAUUUCGUGGGUAACAAGUACUCGGGCUUUUAUCUAGAAUAUCUUUAUUCUUCCAUACCAAUAAAUCACUUAGAUUUUAUGGGCUACGGAUGGAAAUUGUUAAAUUCAUUAUUUAUAGAGUUUGUAUUUUAUAGCAAGUCUAGUUAAAUUGGAAUUUUAUUUAUUGUAUAUUUUGUAAUAGUGAUUAAUUUAUUAAUUCCCUAAUUUAGUGAGAUUUCAAUUUAUUAAGAAUAUUUAUUUCCUAAUUUAAUUAGAUGGCUAACUUAAAAAGUCAAUUAAUGAUGUGAUUCUAUAAUUGGCGCAUGAGCUCUAUUUUGAGUAUGAAGUCAGUUCAAACAUGAAGUUUAUUAAAUGAUUUAGAUAUUUCUUGGGAGACAAGCAAUGUAAGAAAAUUAGAUUUAUUCCUAUUCAGAUUCAUAGGAAUUAUAAAAGAAAAUAAACUCUUAUUUGGAAAGAAUCAAAAUCUUUUAAGAGUUAUUAUUUUUGUGAAAUCCUAGUGCCUAUAUAAAGAGAGGUAUUUCACAAUUGAAGGUGUGCAACACGGAGCACAAAGCAGGGAAGCAAAAUUCGGCAUUCUCCCUAAAGAAUCCUAAUUUGGCACAUAAUAUUGUGUUGAUUUAUUUACUUAUCUUCUUUUCAUAUUUGUGUAGAGUCUAUGUGAAUUUUGGAUCACUAGACAUUAAAAAAUUAAAUAAUUGUUAUUGAUCACUUUGCGAAGUGCGUUAAGUAUCGUGGAUCAAGAGGGGUAGUAAUUAUUUAAGAGAAGCAAAUUCAGUCUGUACAAUGAUAAAAUGUAAAUGAGAGUUUUAAGUUUGAUAAAUCUAUGGUUGUAACAUCUCAACUUAGUGAAUUACUUUUCAUCUGAGCUUGACCUCGUGGAUGUAGAAUUAAUUAAUCUGAAUCACGUAAAAAUCUCCGUACCAUUUAAUUUCUGUAAUUUAUUGUAUUUUUGAAAAAUUAAUAUUUUGAUGCGGAUAAACAAUAACCGUAAACAUUAACUAUAAACAAUAAGCGUAAACAAUAAUGAUGAAUAGUAAUGGUAAACAAUAUUUCCGAAAGUUAAUUAAGUUGUUAAUUUUAAAUUUUUAAUUACCUACAUCUAAAUUGCCUACAUUUAGUGCAAUUUUGAAAGGUAUUAAAUUGGCAGCGGACUUGGGGUUUCUUCCGCUACUGAUAGAGUCCGAUUCAGUUAAUGUCAUUAGUCUCAUCUCAGGAAAAAUUAACAGCCAAUUAGAGAUUGAUUGGCUAAUAUCUGAUAUUAAAAGUUUUAUUUGUAAGAAAAGUGUUUGCUAUAAGACACAUUCCCAGAUCCGGUAAUUCAGCAGCUCACAAAGCUGCAAAAAUGGCUCUUGAUCAUGCUGAGUCGCGCACAUGGUUACAGGAUGCGCCUCCUGACAUUGUACCUCUCUUGUAAUGUUAUGGUGUAAUCAAUGAAAAUUUUAUUGUAAAAAAAAAAAUCCUUUCAGAAAUUAAUAUAUACUAUUUUAAUGUGGAAAAUCCCUUCAGAAUUAGUUCGAUAAAUACAAUAUUCAUCCAGUUACCGCAGGCUAAUAAUGCUCAUCCUGGAUAACUCAUGUCGCUUUUUACAUAUGCUGUAAUCUAAUUGGUGUGAUUAUCUUUGUAGGCCUACCUUCUCACUUGGCCAGAAUCGAGGUUAUAUAUGGUCAUGCAAUUAUACAUGAAAAAAGAAUAUCUUUCCAGUAGUUCAUUUUCCCUUUCACAUAGAGCGUACUAAGGAUAUAUAUAUCGGAAACCUGAGAAAACUAAUGAGAUAUUUGAAGGUUAAAGGGGAAGCCGGCUCCGUUAUUAAAAGCAAACUUCUUUAUUUAUUUAUAGACUAGAGUCAAGGAGCUUCACCCGUUACACACUUGAAUCCUUUUUCUAGGCACCAUAAAGGAUCCCAACAAUUAUACAUUACAAGUCAUUACCUUUAUUUAUAGACCAGACACAAGGCGCUCUGCCCAUACAACAUACUUGGAACAUUUUUAAAGGCACACUAAAAGACCAUCCACAACAAAACAUUGAUUCGAUCAUUACACUGGAGGUCGCCUUUUCAUCGGAAAUUGAGAUUUACCUUACCAAGAGGUAAUAUCAACGUUACACAAAACAUGACAUAUAACCAUGUCUAACCUUAUAUCUAGAUUAGAUUACACAGUACACACCAGCUUAAUUAUCUUACAGUAGUAUUCAAUUGGAAUACAAAUGCCAAUACAUUUUACCAUCGAAAGUAUGAUCAGAAUCCAGAACAUUUCCAUGAGGUACCUCUAUAAGAUUAAUCUGCAAAACAAGAGAACCUCCUUCCUGCACAUGACGAUCUUUAUACAGUUCAUCUAAUUGAACCAUAGUUCUAAGGCCAUGAAUAGGACGAUUUUUAUCAAUAGGCCUAUAACCAUUAGUAUAACCAGA
rnacentral:lncRNA from 1 species